UGUGUCAUCAAAUUUGAACCCUCUGCUGAUGGAGGUUCAAUCUGCAAAACCACUAACACAUACUACCCCAAAGGUGGUGCUCAGAUCGGUGAGGAACACCUCAAGGGAGGAAAAGAGAUGGGUUUGGGAAUGGUUAAGGCUGUUGAGGCUUACCUCCAUGCAAAUCCUACUGCCUACAACUAAUUAUAAUGAAUGCUACUGAAGGACUCUUCGACAUAUUUUCUUCAAGAUUGAAGUACACACUGAGGGUGUGUUUCCUUUUUUGCUUGGUUUGCUUUAAGCUGUUUGGUUAAGUUAAAAACAAAAUUGAAUCAUAGAGAGAACAAAAAAAAUAUAGUGUUUCUUAUGGAGAAAAAAAUGGAGCUGAUGCCUAAAAUCUCACAUGGAUCCAACAAGGAUAUGCUCAAAGUUGGAAAAAUGUGCUAUAAUUAUGAUUACUCCUUUAUGAAAUAAAGCUGAAAGCAGCUCAAUUUCUUUUUGUUUUCCAUAUUAUUCAAUUUCGUUGUCGAUUUUUGAUAGUUGUAUUUUUUUUAUUGCUUUAAUAAGGGCUAUGAUUGGAUAUCCUGUUAUGCCAUUGGCUGUCGAUGCUAAACCUGAUAAAUUAGAUGGAUCAUCCAAAUAAAGACAAAAUUGGCUAUGUAAACAUUGGUGAGGGACUAUUUCAGCUUAAGAAAAAUAGUUGAGGGACUAAAUUGGCUUAUAAUAAAAUUAGGGACUACUUCAGCUUUGUAAAAAUAGUUGAGAGACUAAAUUGACUCAUAAAAAGUUUAGGGACUAUUUUGACAUUAACGAAAUAGUUUUGAGACUAUAAACAUUAGGUCACAAUGUUGAAAUAUCAAAACCCAUGUUUGGGACCAAAACUCAUAGAACUUCUUCACGUCGCUAGCGAAAUUUGAUUCUGAAGUAAUGCUAAUUUUAUUUAUUAUUUGUUUCCUUGCUGGUCUUCUGUCUUUUUGGUUACAAUAUUAAAAUGUAUCCAUAAUUUUCAAUUCCAAAAGUGUUGAAUAUUUAAACGAAUUCUAGAAAGGGCACUGAGAGUCAAAAUCUUAUUCAAACAGCCAGCCAUCUCAGAGUACAUAUUUUUUUAUUAUCAGGUUCAAAAUGUAUCUAUUGCAAUUUUUGAAUGAUCAGCCAUGACUAAGAGAAUAAAAUAAUUCACUUGCUGUUUUUAGAUGUGAAUUCAUGACUGUCAGUAGUCUAUAAAUACACUUAUUGCUCACCACUCUUUGCACCGCAAAAUCUUUUCAAGAUCUAUCAAACCCUCCUGUUCUUGAUCUUUGUCCAUUUGUGAAAAAGCAAAUUAAAGCAUCAUGGCCUCUAUCACUUGUAGUGCUGAGAUGACCUCCCCAAUCCCUCCUGCAAGGUUGUUCAAGGCCGCCAUCCUUGAUGACCACCUUCUUCCCAAGAUCAUGCCACAGGCUAUUAAGAGUGGAAAUCCUUGAAGGAGAUGGUGGAGUUUGAACCAUUAAGUUGAGCACAUUUGGUGAAGGUUAGCAGUUAUAUUAAAUGUAGAACCCAAAUUUUAAGGAUCUAAUAAUAAUCAAUGCGUGCAGGGUUACAGAAUUGGAGGGAUAAAAUAAAUACUCAAAAUAUACGUGGAAGAAAAGAAAAUAAUAAAUUCAACUCAUAAUAUUAUUGAAAUUUCAAACAAUGAAGAAAAUCAUACCACAAUAAAUUCAGCUGGUUCUAAUAAUAAUCAAAGCAUACAAGGUUGCAGAAUUAAAAGGAUAAAACAAACACUCAAAAUAUAUGUGGGAGAGAAGAAAAUAAUAAAUUCAACACACAAUAUUACUGAAAUCUCAAACAAUGAAAAAAGUCACACCAUAAUAGAAAACCUUGCUAAUUCUUCUAGAUUCUUUCUCUUGAGAAACCAACCUAAAUAAUGUCCUAUUUAUAAUCUACCAAACUUGUUAGGAAAGAAACCACUUGCAUAAGAAAUUACCAAAUAAAACAGAAAUUCCUAAAUCACACAACUACUAAAAACAUAACUCAAAUAAAACUAAAAAUAAAUAAAUAUUUCUUGGCUUAGUUUAAUUUGUCAACAUUGCCUCCCUUAAACCAAACUAUCCAUUGAGAUAGGUUCAACACCAUCUCGAGCAAUAAUUUCUAUGUUGUAGUACACUUGACAUGAAACUCUAACUUGUUACCAGUUAUUAAUUUCAUUUUUACAUGUAACAAUGGACGCACUAUGUAUUUUGUAAAAAAUUUCUCAGCAAUUUCUUCUUGAUCAAAGUACUCACUUAUACAAACACAUUCAUCACCAGAAUCACCAUAUUUACCACCAAUGUAAGUGCCUAAAAAUACAAAAUCAUAGAUUGCUUUCUGGCUAAAAUUAUCAUCACCAAAUAAUUCAAAAUAACCACUACUACAAUCAUCCAAAAUUUUCAUACUGUCAGUCAACUCUUUUGGAGUAAAGUAUUUUUCAACUCCGAUGACAUCCAUAUCUAUCAAAUCAAACAUUCUCCCAUGACUUUGAAGAGAGUCCGCAACCAACGAAUUUUUCAACAACAAUUUCAUGUUCUCUUCUCUUAUCAAAUCAAAAUUUUCUUCUUCUUUUGUCAAAUUACCAUUUUAUUUUUUUCAACAAAUUCAUUACUUCUAAUUUCUCCAAACAAGGUACGCAAAUCAAAACUAUCAAUUGAUUCAAAAUUUUCAAUAUCACCCAUAUUAUCAACAAAUCUAUCAUUUUUAAAAUCCACAAACUAAUUCCAACAACUAGACUUCGGUUUGAAAGCAUAAUUUCUCUCAAUCGUGUGCAAAACAUAGUAAAUAUUCUUCCAAAAUCUCUAAAGUAUUUUAGUACAACCAAUAAAGGUUUUAUAAAUACUUUUUGCCAUUAAUUUAUGCAUCACUUGAAAGAAUAAUUGUGCCUUUUUCUUAAAAACAUGUUUUGCCAACUUACUUGCGUCAACCCAACAAAGAAUAUCAUCCAAAUUACAUUGUUUGACAUAUUUUUCCACUGUUAAAAUCCAACCAAAUAUGUAUGUAUAUUUGUGCUUAUAGGAGUCAAUAUGAAAAAUUUUUCACCGUCAAUCAGAUCUUUAUAAUAUUCCAUUAUUUAACAAUUUGUAUACCUGAAUAAAUUUUUUUCCUCCAUCCUGUCAUGUUUUCUUGGCCUCCCUGGUUGACUAACCAAAUUAUUGUUGUAUGUAUACCCAUGCUCGUCAAACCUCAUUCGUGUACACUCGUAAGGAGUGGUUCUGAGCUUAUUGUGAAUGCUCAGUACCAAGAAGUAGAAGAGAGAAUGCAUAAGAGAGAAUUAACUUGGCUAAAGAAUUAGGAAACAAUUGAGGGAUUUUUUAAGAAAUUAAUUCUCCAACUGCCACUUUUGGAAAUUUUCUAUCAACAACUAGUUACCAAAACACUAGCACAUAGUAAGAAAUCUGGAUAAUUUCAGAAACCUCCCUUGAGGCUUUUAAUAAUCUCGAGAAGCUCCCCUCAAUUUUUAAAAUUGCACGUACCAUCCCUAUUGGUGCAAAAGUACUCUACUACCCCUAAUAGGAUACUCAAAAGACUUUUUUUAUGGGAAAAAAGAAGGCCAGAAAUCCAAGCGAAAACAAAAAAAAUCAAUUUAUUUUCUCUUUUAGCCUUUUACGCUUUUGCCUUCUACCUUUGCUCACUUUCCCAUGCCAAUCUUCCUAUAACCACUUUCCCAAUCCCCUUUCCCCAACUUUUCUUCUCUACUUCAAGACCAAUUUUUGUCCAUCAAUCCUGGCUUGUGCUUUGUUCCAUUCCCUUCCCUUCUCCUUCUUUGAUUUCCCCUAUAUCUCCCCUUCUCUUUGCAAAAGUGACUAGGCUCAUCUCUCUCCUUUUUUUCCCCAUAUUUUAAGUGUAGUGGGUUUGAUUAUUUUGCAUCUAUUUUAUUUGAUUUUGGUUGAUUAUGGGUGAUAAAACUUGGUGAUGUCACAUAUUAAAAGUUUGAUAGAUGGAUAUUGGGCUUUAGACAAUGAUUUGCUGAAAAAAAUGGCCGCAAUGAGAGGAAGAGGCAAAGGGAUUUGAGUGUGGGGUUGAUUGUUGAUGAAUUGUUGUUUUGGAAAAAAUUUGAGGUUGAGUUUUAUCAAAUUUGGUAGCAAGUGGCGAGAUUUGUUCAGGUUGCGGGAAAUAAAUUGGUUUGUGGUUUCUUGGGCACCCACAGUCGUUGGAAUUGGUUUUGAUUCAAAUUAGGGUGGUUACUUGAUUUUCCUAAUAGUGUUGCUUAAAAGCACACGAUCAUCAAAAUUCCUUAUUUUUAUCUUUUAUUUUUUUUUUGUAGAAAAGAUUUCAUGACUUUCGUGAUAGUCUAAUUUGGAAGAAGGCAAUCAAGGGAUGCAAUCAACAUUUAGCAAAAGCUCUUGUUCUUUUCUUUGUAAUUUUUAGGGUAAAAAGGGUUGUUUAGGGUAUUUGAAGGAAAUGAUAGUCUAUUGGGUCUAUUUUGAAGCAUAAAUAGUGAACGUAAGGGAGGUUGGUGUUAUUUCUGAAACCUAAGGGAAUUGUCUGAAAUUGUCCGAGACCUCGGAGGAGGUUUUCAAAAUUAUCCGUAAGAAAUCAAAUGCGAAACUUGAUUCGUACACGCACACACGACACCACACCACGUCACGCGUGUGUUGAGGACUGAUGUCCGUAGCCAACGACAAGCAGGUUUUCAAUUUUUUUUUCCUUUCCUGGAUUCAGAGAUGGUGUCAGCUUCUAUUAUUGGUGAGCAGGAGGAAAUCCACAAUAUACAGUACACAUCACCCAUAUUCUUUUUAAUUGAACAAUGUAUGAAAUUAUGGUGAUUCGAAAUUAAAUUAUAUGUUUAUUGGACAACGAAUCCAAAAUAAGAGUUGGAAAUGUAUUGUGACAACAAUUGUUAACUUUGGCCACAAAUGAUCAAAAUAAAUAUUUAAGGUUUAAUAUGACAUUAUGGGUUCAAAAUAUAGUUACUUGUUAUGAAACAACUAAAAGUGCGGAUGCCCAUUUGUAUUCUCAAAAGGAUCAAUUCAUAAUUCAUUGCUCCCAAGAUGAUUAAUUCAUAAUUCAUUGCUACAUUAUGUAAAGAAAUUACAUUGGAUGAAUGGUUUCAAUCCAUAAGAGCUAUUCAUGUAUUGGAUGAACCGUUUCAUAUGGCUAUUCAUGUUCUUGUAGUAAUGAGUGUUUAAUAGAAUUGAUGUACCUUUAAUUUUAUAGUACCUAUACAUAGAGGUACCUGGCACCUCUUCGGUGUACUUUUUGAUUAGUUGGAAUAAUAAGAAAAUCAUUCUCCAUUUCUGUACUCUUUCACUAAUAUUUCAAUUCCUAUUAUAGUAGUUCAUUUUUUUUUAGUUUUACAACACGUUAUCAGUACGAGUCUCUCCUUUUAAACAAAAAGGUGAAAACGGAGCCUCUACCUUAAAAAAAAAGUGAAACACGAGAUUUUGCCGAAAUUCUGCCGUAUUUUUCCAGUAACUUCUGUCUACUUAUUGAGAAAUGGAUGCCAAAUAUUUGGGAUUAAAUGAUGGUGAUGAUGACAUUUGUCUCAUUGAUAGUGCUACUACGCGCACUAUAUUGAAAAAUAAAAAAAUUUUCUUGUAUGAAAAUGGGAGAGACAAAUGUUAAUAUCAUAAGUGGUAGUGCAAAAUUGAUUGAAAGAUUCGGAAGAGCCACUCUAUUUCUUCCUAAAGGGACUAAAAUUGUCGUAAAUAAUGCACUAUUGUCUCCCAAGUCUCGGAGAAAUUUAUUGAGUUUUAAAGAUAUCCGCAAAAACGGAUAUCAUAUUGGGACAAUGAUUGAGACAAAUGGAAAAUUUUUAUUAAUCACAAGUAUCAUUUCUAGACAGAAAUACGUAGUAGAAAAAUUACCUUCUUUUUCUUUUGGCUUAUAUUAUGCACAAAUUAGUGCAAUUGAAAUUUAUCACCUAGUAAACCAAAAGUCUAUUCAUCCCAAUAAUUUUAUCAUUUGGCAUGAUCAUUUCAGAAAUCUUGAAUCUAUAAUGAUGAGACAAAUAAUCGAGAAUUCACAUGGUCACUCAUUGAAAAAUCAAAAGAUAUUAAAAGCAAAUGAAUUCUCCUGUGUUGCUUGUUCCCACGGAAAAUUUAUUAGACCAUCACCAGCUAAAGUUGGGACUGAAUCCCCUACAUUUCUAGAACGAAUUCAUGGUGAUAUAUGUGGAUUAUUUCGAUAAUUUAUGGUGCUAAUUGAUGCAUCAUCUAGAUGGUCACAUGUAUGUUUAUUAUCUACUCCCAACCUGGCGUUUGCGAGUUUGCUUGCUCAAAUAAUUAAAUUGCGAGCACAAUUUUCAGACUAUCCAAUAAAGAAAAUUCAUCUAGAUAAUGCUGGUGAAUAUUCAUCACAUACUUUUGACGAUUAUUGCAUGUCCAUUGGAAUAACUGUUGAACAUCUUGUAACUUAUGUUCACACACAAAAUGGUCUAGCCGAAUCAUUUAUUAAACGGCUACAAUUAAUUGCUAAACCAUUGUUGAUGAGGUUUAAACUACUUUCAUCUGCUUGCGAACAUGCUAUAUUACAUGCAGCAACACUUGUGAGAAUUAGACCGACAAGUUAUCAUACUUAUUUUUCCCUACAAUUAACUUUUGGUUAUGAAUCCAAUAUUUUUCAUUUAAGAAUAUUUGGUUAUUCAGUUUGUGUUCUAAUUGCACCGCCCCGACGUUGUAAAUUGGGCUCGCAAAGAAGAUUGAAAAUAUAUGUCGGGUAUGAAUCACCUCUAAUUAUUAAGUAUAUGGAACCAUUGACAGAUGAUUUAUUUAUUGCGAGAUUUGUAGAUUGUCAUUUUGAUGAAUCAGAUUUUUCAACAUUAGGGGGGAGAUAAAAAUCAACCGAAAAAGGAAAUCACUUUAAAAAUAUCAUUGAAUUUUCUCGAUUCUCGUACAAAAGAAUGUGAACUAGAAAUUCAAAAGAUUAUACAUUUGCAAAAAAUUACAAAUCAAUUACCGGAUGCAUUUAAUGACUCCAGAAGAGUUACUAAAUCACAUAUUCCUAUUGAAAAUGCUCUGAUUAAAAUUAAUAUCCUUGAAGGACAAAUUACAAGUGCUAAUGAGUCUAAAGUGCGCCUGAAGCGUGGGAGAUUUCUUGGUUCCAAAGAUAAAAAUUUUCGAAAGAAAAGAGGAGUACAUGAAUCAACAAUUAAUGACAAAAUUUAACCUCCUGAAGAGAUCGCUCCUAAAGAGCCAAUUCUUGAAGAGAAUAAAAUCAUAGAAAAUUCAAUAAAUUUUGUCACUUCAGGGAAAAGUUGGAACCGAAAAGAAAUAAUUAUUGAUAGUAUUUUUGUAUAUAAUGUAGCACUUGAUAUUAUGGUAGAGAAUGGGGAUUACGAGCCUAAAUCGAUUGAUGAAUGUCGACGUAGAAAUGAUUGGCCAAAAUGAAAAGAUGCGAUCCAAUUUGAAUUGGACUCACUGGUUAAAAGAAAAGUUUUUGGACCUGUAGUCCAAACACCUGAAGGUGUGAAGCCAGUAGGAUAUAAAUGGGUAUUUGUGAAAAAAAAAUGAGAAAAAUGAAAUCGUGAGGUAUAAAUUAAUACUUGUAGCCAAAGGAAUUUCACAAAGGCCUGGAUUUGAUUAUGAUUACACGUAUUCACUUGUAGUGGAUGCUAUCACAUUUAGAUAUCUUGUGAGUUUUGCAGUACAUGAAAAAUCAGAUAUGCAUCUAAUGGACGUCGUUACUGCAUAUUUAUAUGAAAAUCUUGAAAAUGAUAUUUAUAUGAGAAUUCCCGAAGGAUUCAAUAUGCCUGAAACAUGCAAAUCAAAUCUUAAAAAUAUUUAUUUAAUUAAAUUACAAAAGUCUUUGUAUGGAUUCAAACAAUCUGAACGUAUGUGGUACCGCCUUAAUGAAUGUUUAACUAAAGAAGGCUAUACCAAUGAUCCAAUAUGUCCAUGUGUCUUUAUCAAGAAAAAUGGAUCAAAUUUUGUGAUAAUUGUUGUAUAUGUUGAUGAUCUAAAUAUGAUUGGAACACCUGAAAAGAUUCAAAAUAGUGUUGAAUAUUUGAAAAAAAAUUUGAGAUCAAAGAUUUUGGAAAAAUAAAAUUUUUCCUUGGUUUACAAAUUGAGCAUUUGAAAAGUGGAAUUUUGUCCACCAAACUGCUUAUACCCGGAAGGUAUUAAAGCGAUUUUAUAUGGAUAAGUCACAUACAUUAAGUAUUCCAAUGGUCAGAUCAUUAGAUCCUAAUAAGGACCCUUUUAGACCGCGAGAGGAAGAUGAAGAGAUACUUGGUCCUAAAGUACCAUAUCUCAGUGCAAUUGGUGCACUACUGUAUCUUGCUAAUUGUACAAGACUUGAUAUAUCAUUUACAAUAAAUUUAUUAGCAAGAUUUAUUUCCUCGCCCACAAGACGACAUUGGAAUGGUAUUAAACAUAUUUUUCGUUAUCUUUAAGGAACAAAUUGAUCUUGGCUUAUUUUAUUCAAAUAAAUCUAAACUUGAAUUGCUUGGUUAUGUUGAUGUUGGAUAUUUAUCUGAUUUGCAUAAAGCAAGAUCUCAGACUGGUUAUCUAUUUACAUAUGGAGGUACAACCAUUUCUUGGCGAUCUAGAAAGCAAUUAUUAGCCGCCACUUCAUCGAAUCAUGCUAAAAUAAUAGCAAUUCAUGAGGCUAGUCGAGAAUGUGUUUCGUUAAGAUCAAUGACCUACUAUAUCCGGAAGAGUUGUGGGUUAUCCUCUGAAAAAGAAAAUCCUCCGACUAUAUUUUAUGAAGAUAAUGCAGCUUGUAUAGCUCAAUUGAAAGGAGAAUAUAUUAAAGGAGAUAGAACGAAAUAUAUUUCACCAAAAUUCUUUUUUACUCAUGAUUUACAAAAGAAUGGUGAAAUUGUUGUGCAACAAAUCCGAUCAGAUAAUAAUUUGAUAGAUUUAUUUACUAAUGUAUUGCCGACUGCAAUAUUUGAGAAAUUGGUGAAGAAUAUUGGAAUGCGACGACUAUAAAAUCUCAAAUGAUAUUUGCAUCAGGGGGAGAAAUCAAUACACAAGAAUAGUGUACUCUUUUUUUUUCACUAGAGUUUUUGUCCCGUUGGAUUUUUUCCUAGUAAGGUUUUAAUAAGACAUAUUCUUUGUGUAAUUAAUAUCCAAUGGGGAGUGUUAUGAAAUAACUAAAAGUGUGGAUGUCCAUUUGUAUUCUCAAGAAGAUCAAUUCAUAAUUCAUUGCUCCCAAGAGAAUUAAUUCAUAAUUUAUUGCUACAUUAUGUAAAGGAAUUACAUUGGAUGAUCGGUUUCAAUCCAUAAGAGCUAUUCAUGUAUUGGAUGAACCAUUUCAUAUGGCUAUUCAUGUUCUUGUAGUAACGAGUGUUUAAUAGAAUUGAUGUACCUUUAAUUUUGUAGUACCUAUAUAUAGAUGUACCUUAGCUGAUAGGUUGCAAUUUUAUCAUUUAUUUUAUAAUUAAUUUCUCCUAUUACCUGACUUGAUGUGGAUUAAUUGCGGGAUUCUACUCACUUUUAGUAUUUUGCAUUUAUUUCAGGGAGUAGAGCGAAAAUAUAAUAACAGGUGCUAAUUUGACAAAAAAAGAGUCCAAGGCACAGAGCUUAUCCCGGGGGCAUUAUUGGCAAAGGAAGACUUUUGCCCAUUUUGGUAAUUUCAAAAGAAGAGAGCAGGGCAGAGGCCUCUAUUUUACUGGAGGCUGGAGCGCCGCACAAAGGGAGCUUCUUCUUCCUUCGGAGGCUCCGUCCUCUCCGCAAGGGGGCUGCCGCACACAGCAGCCAUUAGAAUAGGAGCAAUUGAUAUAUGACAGAGAAUGAGCACUAGCACCAGGGAGUUGCCUUUGUUGACUUUUCUUCCCUUUUAGUUCUUAGUAGUUGUUUUACCUUCCUCGUACGUAGGACCUUUAGCAUAGUUUCCUUUUGACUUUCCCUUGAGUCUUGGGUGGAUGUCUCCUGCGCAUGUCAGGAGCAAUUGAAGGUCUCGGUCACUUUCUGUAUUCUUCCAUCAACUGAGCGAACUGAGCUCCCUUGGUCAAGGGCAAUGGCUGCGGCUUCCUCUCCAACUUUGUGUGGGAUUCGUUCACCAGGAAUGAACUAAUUUUUCUUUUCUAGUCAAGGAACAACGGAGGUCUUGGUUGGCCUAAAUUUGUGAGAUCGAAUUAGUUUUUAUUUAUUUCCAUUAUUCACUGGUAUUUGUCUAUCUUCUGCUUUAUGUUCAUAUGGUUGUUUUAUUAUUCGAUUAUCCAGGGCCCGGAUACUAGAUUAAUUCAAUAACCUGAAGCCAAUUAGGAUAGUUAAAUCCGUAAUUGUUUAAUUAUUCUAAACUGCUGGCAACUGGCAUGAUUGGGUUUGUGUCAGGGGGAUAAACAUGCUAACUUAAAGAGACCCUCGUAGCGUGUUGAUUGGUUAGAAUUAGGCUCUUCUAAUUAUUCAUGCAAUUAGGGAAUUGAACUUCUAUGGUCGUACCUAGGGUUAUUUCCUGAUUAGAGAAAUAGUCAACGGUCGUACCUUGGCUAUCGACAAAUUGAGGAAGAGUUGGUUGUUUAUCGCGUGUAUGGCAACUAUAACUAAUUUAUCAGAUAGUAACUGGAAUAAUCCUUGCAUCUGUGAUCGAAUUAAGUGAACCAUCUCCGAAGUUGUCUCUUGGCUAGAGUUCGUCAAUUAUUAUUUUUAUUGUGAUAAUUAGUUAUUUGAGUUGUAGUUAUUUUAUUUUAUUUAUUCCAAGUAAUUUAGUUACUCUCAUUUUCAAAAACCCCCCAUAUCUGGAACUUGAGAAGAAAUUAAAUUAUCCCCAGUCCCUGUGGAUUCGACCCUGCUCACCGCUAUAUACAGAAUUUGUAUUUUAUUUGAGCAGGUAUUUAUUAUUGCACAGGUUCGGCACCUGUCAAUUUUUUGCUACAUUAUGUAAAGGAAUUACAUUGGAUGAUCGGUUUCAAUCCAUAAGAGCUAUUCAUGUAUUGGAUGAACCAUUUCAUAUGGCUAUUCAUGUUCUUGUAGUAACGAGUGUUUAAUAGAAUUGAUGUACCUUUAAUUUUGUAGUACCUAUAUAUAGAUGUACCUUAGCACCUCUUGGGUGUACUUUUUGAUUAGUUGGAAUAAUAAAAAAAUCAUUCUCCAUUUCUGUACUUCUUUCUCUAAUAUUUCAAUUCCUAUCACAGUAGUUAUUUUUUUUUAGCUUUACAACAUUACUUAAAUAAGAGAGUUAUUGGACUAUAUGUUUAUUGACCUCUACUAACUUAUUUAAGGUCAUUUCAUAUCACUAUCCAAAGAAGAAUUAAGGUCAUUUCAUAUCACUAUCCAAAGAACAAUUCUUGGGCGCUAACAUUUUUCUUACAUGACUAUUAAUGAAAGUUGACCCAAAUCUCUCUGUCUCUCUCUUUCUUUCAAUUCUUAGGACUGAUGCCAAUUCUUACCAUUUAGAAAGAAAAAUUAGAUUGUUUAUAUAUAUGAUGAGUUCCCUCUAAGUCAUGGUUAAGAAAAAUUCUUAGUUAAACGCAGUUUUAUGAAAUGUGAAUUUCCUUUUCUUUGUCUUUAUUCAUUAGUAUUAUUGGGGUUAUUGUAUUAUGAUUGCAAUGCACAGAUACAUGGAUUUUUGACAUUUUUUCUUUUUAAUUGACUCUGACUAUGCCUCAAACUCGAGACAUCAAACCUGGACACGACUUUUGUCCAAAAUGCUUGUAAAAAUUCAGAAGAAUAAUUUUGGACCUUAUUAUUUGAUAAUGGUACAAUUAUGAGAGUCAUUCCAGGUUAAUUAUCAAACUUGGAACUUGAAAAUAAUGUCGACAUCAUGUCAUUAUUAUUUUUUAGUUUCAUAGAAAAAUGAAGUAUUCUCCAACUCGACAUUAUCAUAGUAUUUUCAAUUGGCAGCUCAUGUGAGAAAGACAAGAAAUUCACAAUCAACUGGCCAAGAGAGUGCCAACAAAGAAAGCACUAAAUGGCUUAAACAAUGCAUGCAAAUUUGCUUGGCACUUAAACAAUAGACACCUAAAUCAACCAUGUCACUGUCUUGCCAAAAAAGGGCAUUAAAGUAAAAACAACUCAUGCCUACCACAGGUAACAAACUUCAGCACCUUCACUUCACUACCAUGUCAGCAACAACAUUUGCAAAUUUCCAAGGAAGUCCACGCACUAAAGGUGCCCAUGCCCUUAGGGGACCUCAGGUUAGUGUUCUUAACCUCAACUCCUGUCUUUCUGUUCUUAGGAAAUAUUGAAAUUAAACGUUAUAACUAAUCCUGAUUUCCUUGUGCUAUAUUUGUACACAAUUUGGCAACAAGGGUAAAAAAAAAUAAAAAUAAAAAGGUUUAUCUGCAAACUGUAGUUCGGCCUGGCUCUUUUUUUUUUUUUUUUUUUUGGGGAUAAGAUCAUCUCAGCACCCGCAGACCCCGUCAUGUAUCAAUAUUUCUGUACUUAGCAUUGGCUUCUUCUCGCCUGAAGAACACACGAACCACCGAAAUAGAUGGUGCAUGAAAGUGCACUUAACCCUUUUAAUUUUUCAAAACAAUCUUUUAGAAAAAAUAAUAAAAACUUUUUGAAUUUAAUUUUAGAGAAGAAGAAUUUUAAAAUUUUUUGAAUUUAAUCUUAGAGAAGAAGAAGUUUAAAAUGUACUUUAAUUUUCACAACUGAUGAUGAAAAUAGCAAAAUGUACACGGAUAGUGACAAAAGUGGGAUCACGGGCAGGAAAUCCUGAAGGUUGCGUGCAUUUUACACACGGCAUAAUUCUGUUUGUAUAUAGUGUAAUUUACUUUUUACAACGUGUAAUUUUAAAACAAAAUUUUGUAAGUCUCACACAUUUUAUUAAAAAUAAGGUACAAGAUGAAAUUUGGACCAUAUAAUUUUUUUUAAUCAAAUCUUGACCGUGAACUGCUCAGAAACGGUUUACCUGAUGACCGUCCCUGGUCCAAACCCGACAAAGGUGCCAUCUUAUCCUUUUACUGACUGGCCCGUUUUCCAAUGAGAGGGCCCAGAAGGGGUGCCUCUGCUUCAUAGUUUAUCCAUAUUGAUAUUUCUUUUCUGUCCCCCUAACUAUUAAAUGUGAAAGGUUGCCCACCAAAUUUGACGAAACCGUUUAUCCUAAUUGAUUAUUAUCAAUAGGGCAUAACUUUAAUAUUCUUCUUCCAACCCUUUCUGGUGAUUCCUGCAACUCCAGCCGUCCGUCAAUGACCAUAAAGCACCAUUAACCGACAACUAACUAACCACUAUUAAUCUAUUCUCAAAUUUUAAUGAAAUUGCACAAUCUAUUCUCAAAUCAAAUUUGAACAACAUUUUAUAGUCGAUAACUUUGAAACUUGAUAAAAAAGUCUGUUUAAACUCGGUUUAGUAAAUAAACAAAUCAAGUUUGAACAAAAUUUUAAACUCAUUAAAAUAAUUAAACACGUUUGAAUAUUAGGGUAUUCGAUUUAAUUAGACACGUUUGUAUCCCUAAUUAAAGCAUGCACUUUUAUAAGUUUAGGAAUCAACAUUAUACAUUUAAUAGCUAGCUAGAGGGUCAAAAAGUUAAUUGCCUUAAAUUCUUUUAGCAGCCAUAAGGUACAGUUGGAGGGAUUCCCUUGAAAUUGGUUAGAUUCUUCUAUGUGACUAAAGAAUUUCGGGUGUGACGCAUUACUAGUCCUACCCUAAAAAAAAAUGGUAUUACUAGUCCUUUUUUUCUUUUUUGGCGUGCCCCCGUCGUGGGAUGUGGGGAGGGGAGUCUGUGCGAGAAUUCUAGGUCGGGGUACAAGGAGCCAAAGUUCACCUUAUUCAAAGUAAACAACCGUCCAUCUCAGUUGUCGACUUUCCUGUCGAUUGCGUAUAUAUAUAUAUUACUAUCUUUUACCAUGACUUUAGAGGAUAGCUAAUUUUGCUUGCUAUUAAAUAAUAAUUUCGGUAGUCUAUAAAUACUCUUGUUCCUCACCGCUCCUAGCACCACAUAAUUCCUUCAAGAACAGCCAAAACCUUCUUGAAAUCCCUCUUUUUCCUUCUAGUUCAUUUCCAAGAAACAAAUGGCCCCUGUCACUUCCAGUUAUGAGGUCACCUCCUCAAUCCCUCCUGCAAGGUUGUUCAAGGCCACCAUCCUCGAAGAGAAGCAUCUUCACAAGAUCUUGCCACAGGGCGUUAAGAGUGUCGAAAUCCUUGAAGGAGAUGGUGGAGUUGGCACAAUUAAGUUGACCACAUUUGUUGACGGUAAGAUAAUCAAUACAAAGUGAUUAUUUUCACACAUUUGAAGUCUUCAAAUUUUUCUCUUUUUUUCCCUUUUAUUUGGGAAAAACUAAUGACUUUUUUUUUUUGGUUGGGUUAAAUAUUUAGGUGGCGAGCAUAAGACUGCCAAACAGAGAGUUGAUGGAAUUGACAAAGAAAAAUUUACAUACAGCUAUACUGUACUUGAAGCUGAUGGAUUUAACGAUGUAAUCGAGAAAAUCUGUUGUGUCAUCAAAUUUGAACCCUCUGCUGAUGGAGGUUCAAUCUGCAAAACCACUAACACAUACUACCCCAAAGGUGGUGCUCAGAUCAGUGAGGAACACCUCAAGGGAGGAAAAGAGAUGGGUUUGGGAAUGGUUAAGGCUGUUGAGGCAUACCUCCAUGCAAAUCCUACUGCCUACAACUAAUUAUAAUGAAUGCUACUGCAAGGACUCUUCGACAUAUUUUCUUCAAGAUUGAAGUAUAAACUGAGGGUGUCUGUUUCCUUUUUUGCUUGGUUUGCUUAAGCUGUUUGGUUAAGUUAUUCGCAGCAAGAGAAUAAAAUAAUUCAUUUGCUGUUUUUAGAUAUGAAUUCAUGACUGUCAGUAGUCUAUAAAUACACUUAUUGCUCACCACUCUUUGCACCGCAAAAUCUUUUCAAGAUCCAUCAAACCCUCCUGUUCUUGAUCUUUCUCCAUUUGUGAAAAAACAAAUUAAAGCAUCAUGGCCCCUAUCACUUGUAGUGCUGAGAUGACCUCCCCAAUGCCUCCUGCAAGGUUGUUCAAGGCCGCCAUCCUUGAUGACCACCUUCUUCCCAAGAUCAUGCCACAGGCUAUUAAAAGUGGAAAUUCUUGAAGGAGAUGGUGGAGUUUGAACCAUUAAGUUGAGCACAUUUGGUGACGGUUAGAUGUUAUAUUAAAUGUAGAACCCAAAUUUUAAGGAUCUAAUAAUAAUCAAUUAAUAAUAAUCAAUGCGUGCAGGGUUACAGAAUUGGAGGGAUAAAACAAAUACUCAAAUAAAUGUGGAAGAAAAGAAAAUAAUAAAUUCAACUCACAAAAUUAUUGAAAUUUCAAACAAUGAAAAAAAUCAUACCUUAAUAAAUUCAGUUGGUUUUAAUAAUAAUCAAAGCAUACAAGGUUAAAGAAUUAAAAGGAUAAAACAAACACUCAAAAUAUAUGUGGGAGAGAAGAAAAUAAUAAAUUCAACACACAAUAUUAUUGAAAUCUCAAACAAUGAAAAAAGUCACACCAUAAUAGAAAAUCUUGCAAAUUCUUCUAGAUUCUUUCUCUUGAGAAACCAACCUAAAUAAUGUUCUAUUUAUAAUCUACCAAACUUGUUAGGAAAGAAACCACUUGCAUAAGAAAUUACCAAAUAAAACAGAAAUUCCUAAAUCACACAACUACUAAAAACAUAACUCAAAUAAAACUAAAAAAUAAAUAAAUUUUUCUUGGCUUAGUUUAAUUUGUUAACAUUGCCUCCCUUAAACCAAACUAUCCAUUGAGAUAUGUUCAACACCAUCUCGAGUAACAAUUUCUAUGCAAAUCUAUGUUGUAGUAUACUUGACAUGAAACUCUAACUUGUUACCAGUUAUUAAUUUCAUCUUUACACGUAACAGUGGACGUACUAUGUAUUUUGUAAAAAAUUUCUCAACAAUUUCUUCUUGAUCAAAGUACUCAUUUAUACAAACCCAUUCAUCACCAGAAUCAUCAUAUUUACCACCAAUGUAAGUUCCUAAAAAUACAAAAUCAUUGCUUGCUUUCUCGCUAAAAUUAUCAUAACCAAAUAAUUUAAAAUAGCCACUACUACAAUCAUCCAAAAUUUUCAUACUGUCAGUCAACUCUUUUGGAGUAAAAUAUUUUUCAACUAUAAUGACAUCCAUAUCUAUCAAAUCAAGCAUUCUCCCAUCACUUUGAAGAAAGUCCGAACCAACGAAUUUUUCAACAACAAUUUCAUGAUCUCUUCUCUUAUCAAGUCAAAAUUUUCUUCUUCUUUUGUCAAAUUACCAUAUUAUUGUUUCAACAAAUUCAUUACUUCUAAUUUCUCCAAACAAGGUACGCAAAUCAAAACUAUCAAUUGAUUCAAAAUUUUCGAUAUCACCCAUAUUAUCAACAAAUCUAUCAUUUUUAAAAUCCACAAACCAAUACCAACAACUAGACUUCGGUUUGAAAGCAUAAUUUCUCUCAAUCGUGUGCAAAACAAAGUAAAUAUCCUUCCAAAAUCUCUAAAGUAUUUUAGUAUGACCAAUAAAGGUUUUAUAAAUACUUUCUGCCAUUAUUUUACACAUCACUUGAAAGAAUAAUUGUGCUUUUUUUCUUAAAAACAUGUUUUGCCAACUUACUUGCAUCAACCCAACAAAGAAUAUCAUCCAAAUUACAUUGUUUGAGAUAUUUUUCCACUGUUAAAAUUCAGCCAAAAUAUGUAUGUCUAUUUGUGUUUAUAGGAGUCAAUAUGGAAAAUUUUUCACCAUCAAUCAGAUCUUUAUAAUAUUCCAUUAUUUAACAAUUUGUAUACCUGAAUAAAUUUUUUUCCUCCAUCCUGUCAUGUUUUCUUGGCCUCCUUGGUUGACUGACCAAAUUAUUGUUGUAUGUAUACCCAUGCUUGUCAAACCUCAUUCGUGUACACUCGUAAGGAGUGGUUUUGAGCUUACUGUGAAUGCUUAAUACCAAGAAGUAGAAGAGAGAAUGCAUAAGAGAGAAUUAACUUGGCUAAAGAAUUGGGAAGCAAUUUAGGGAUUUUUUAAGAAAUUAAUUCUCCAACCGCCACUUUUGGAAAUUUCUAUCAACAACUAGUUACCAAAACACUAGGACAGCGAUCCGUCUCUAUUUUACUCUUCAAGUCUUCGCCGGGGAAGCAACCCGGCCUUGCGAGACUAUAAUGAAUAGGCACUUGCCUUCUGUUUUUACUUUUUUUUUGUUCAAAGACUAUAAUGCCCUUAUUAUUUGACUGCGCAUCUCGCAAGAUAAUGCUUUCCAUCAAAAUUAACUGUUGGGUUUGACAGAAGCGCCACGAAUAUUCUAUUUUAUUAGAUCCAGAGUCAAAAUUUUACCGUUAAUUGUUAGAGGGUUAAAACUUUAUCUGGAAAGGAGUUGGAGGGCCAUUGGAACUCUUUUUCCAAAAAAAAAAAAAAGUCACUUUUGUCAUUUGUCCAAGAACAGUUCUGGGGCCAUCUCGACAGUAUAUAUUUUUCUUACAUGCCAAGACAAUUAAUGAAAAUUGACCAAUAACACACGCACACACACACACACACACACACACUCUCUCUCUCUCUCUCUCUCUCUCUCGGUUGCUGCCAAGUCUUUCCAUUGAAAAAGGAAAAUUCAUAUUGUUUACAUAGAUAAAUUACCUCCAGUCCGUGGAAUGUCUUGAUGUUAGGUGAGUUCUAAUAUUUUGGUAUCAUCUAGAGGUGGCAAAUCAACCCACUUAACUAAAUUUACCCAUAUCCGCCCAUGAAUAGAUGGGUAUGGAUAUCUUAAAUUUUUGUAUAUGAGUAUAAAUGGGUUACCCAAUAAUACCCAUUUAAAUGGGUAACCCAUCAAACCCAAUUAACCCAUUUAGAAUUCUCUUCCCCUCAAGUCUCUUCUUUUCCCCCACCUUUUUUUUUUUCAAAUUUUUCAUUUUGUCAUGAUGUUAACUACUUUUGUUUUAUUAUUAUUAUUUGUUGGUUUUAUCUUAUUAUUUUAUUUUCUCUUAGUUUGUUAACUUACUCAUUUUUUACCAUUACCAAUUUAUGAUAAAUUUUAGCCUAUUUUCUUAUCUUUAUAAAAUGAAAUUUUAAAUUUAUAUAUGAAAAAAAUGUUAGGGGUUCAAAAAUUUUGGAUUAAGUUUUUAUAUUAAUUUUUAUAGUACUUAGUUCAAAAUUUUAUAUUCUUAUUAUUCAAUUAUUAAAUAAUAGGUAAUUUUGUGACAUAGAGUAUAAAUGAAAAAAAAUUGGUAAUUAAGUUUAUUGAACAUUAUAAGUAAAUAUUUAAAACUAAUGAUGGGUAUAAAGAGUGAUAUAAAUUGAUAACUUAGUUUGCAAAAAUGAAUUUAAAUGAGUUUGCAAAAAGUUAAAAUAAAUGGGUUAUAAAUGGGUAAUUGGGUUACCCAAUUCAUUUUUUGACUUGCCUAUUUAUACCCAUAUAAUUAAAUGGGUAUAAAUGAGUUGACUCACUUAUACCCAUUACCCAUUUUACCCAACUCAAACCCGCCCAAGUCACCCAUUUUGACACCUUUAGUAUCAUCUAAUGUUCAUUUGUGAAAGAUUGAGAAAUGAUAAAGAGCAAAACACCAAUUUAUUCCAUAAAUUAUUUUGCUAAAAUCAAAAUAGUCCAUAAAUUUUCUUUUGGCCAAAUUUUUGUCAUGAACUUUCAGAAACGGUUGCAGGGGAUUUCAUCCGGAUUGCUUGUGCAGUUGAGUAACUAUACAGAAAUUCUUUUUGGGAUGCUGAGUAUCUUAGGAUGGGUACAAUGAUCGCUUAGAUCAGUAGAGAUGAUUGAUGAUGUAGUAGGGGAAGAUUCCCUUUAUAAAGCUGAUUUUCUCAUGAUUAAUAAGAAUAUAAAUGUUACCAAAUUUUCUUUUCAAAUGUGUAACGAAAAUAUUGGCCAUGAUCAGCAAGACCUCCUUAAUUAUAAAAGUUUCUUGAAUGUCAUCAUCCAAUUUGUUUAAGCGAGGAUUUUUAAAUGCUAUCUUUAAGCAAAUUGAUUUUUGUAUUAUAGAUACUUACUACUAUUACUUCAUACCUAGCUACAAACCUCAUGUAUGUUUUAGUUUUAAUCCAGAACAAAUCAGGGCCACGGGCCACCUUGCACAUAGCGAGAGUGGAAAAAUAAAACUACACAAUUGCUUUUUUGAAGCCAGUGACUCAACUGAUUUUGCGCUCGGCAAUUCAUCCGAUUUUCAUUAAAAGGGCCCUAAGAGGCCAUUGGCGUUUUGGGCCUGUGAAAAUUUGGAUGAUUUGGUGUGUCCAAUGCAUGUGUAAGCACAAAUUUUGUUGUCUAAAAUAAAAGACAAGAAAACUUACAUAAAUAUCAAAUUUAUUAAAUUAAAUAACAAGAGGGUUACAAUAUUUGAAAAUUUUUGAAUCAAAGAAAUUAAUCUCCUAAUUUUUAUCUUCAAAAGGCUUUAAUCGGAAGGCCAAAAAGGCUUGUUCUCCGAUCAAGAGGGUGUUUUCUAUGAUUUCUAUGUAAAAAACGGCUGCUUUGAUGAUGACGUUAAUAUUUGAAUCUUUAAAUCUUCAACGCCGAUGGAAGGAGGAUUUAUUUAACUUAAUUUGGAUUUGGAUUUGAAUUUGAGGGAAAAAGCUCUCAAGAGAAUUUGACAAAGUUACUUUGAAAUUUAGGAAUUUUAAUGUAUUUUUGCCUUGAGGGAAGACCUUUAUUUAGAGUCAACAUAUGCAAGCUAUGUCUUCAAGAGAAUCCUUCAAAACCAUCUUGCGUUUGGGUAACUUGUACCUUAAGAAACCCAUUUAACUUGGAGUUAAAUAGUCGGCCGACCCAAAUAGUCAAUUGUGAAUUAACAAAUCAAUUAAAUCACUUUAAUUUAAAUGGGCAUCACAUUUUUUAUUUGAUUUAAUAGCUCAUAUAACAUUGGCUCAAUUUGUCAAUCCAAAACAUAAUGAACUUCUAUAAUUUAAUUUAAUUUAAUAAAAAUCAAUUUAAUUUACUUAAUCUUGCCUAAAAAUAAAUUAAAUAAAUUUUCGUUGUCUAUGUCCCCACUUCAAAACUUGGCAAGGCAUUGCAUGUUUAUUUGAAUUAACUUAAAACUUCUUAAUACGAUUCAUCUAAGCACCUUUAUAUAUAUAUAUAUAUAUAUAUAUAUAUAUAUAUAUAUAUUUAUUUAUUUAUUUAUAUAUAGAGGUACAGAAGACAUGUCUUUGUCUUGAAACUGUGACAAACAGGACACUUAAGACAAGGGCGUGUGAAGACUAUCGCACUAUUUGAGCGAAAAAAACCUGUUUUGCACGUAUAUUUUGAAGGUAAUCAUCUUUAUUGUCUUUUGACAACUUCAUGUUGGUCGAGUAUCAGAUAUUCACCAAAUUUUGUUGAAAUUUGUCAAAACUUGAUUUGUUUCCAAUUUGGAGAAAAAAAAAGAUUUUUUUCUUCGUUUCUGCAAUUUUCCAGGUCACUCUUUCCUAUCAACAUGUUACGAUUCAGAAAUUGAGACAAAUCUUGUACAUAGGAAUCUUUUUUAACAGCUGAUGGUUGGAAUUUAGCAGACACCUUGAAGUCAAAGAAGGCAAAUAGCAUUCCAAUAGCAUUAUUUGGUUGCAUGCCAUAUCCAAGAUUUUCACUAGUAAGCCACCAUUUUCUUGCUUUUGAUUGUUAUUCAUUCUCUGUUGCGCAAUUUUAUUUUCGCACAAUCUAUUUUUUUCGUUGAAUUUUCUCUUUUGCAAAACAGCGACCACCAAGGAAAGACAGAAAGAUUUUUUUGUUUUUGUUUUUGUUUUUGUUUUUGUUUUUUUUUUUAUGGUUGCACCUUGUGUUGGCACCCCUUAUUUGAAGCAAGUUGAUGUUCCAGUUGUGUUGGGGAUUUUAGGGCCAUAGCUCUUAGAACUCAAAAUACUAAUGUAAUUUCCGCACUCCAUGACAUUUACUUCUUGUCAAUGCCAAACUCUCCUCUUUUUUUUUGUGAUAUGAAAGGAAGAUCUCUCGUUGCAACAUAUAUGGUGGACACUCAAUUUGAAAGAAGGUGCAACCACCAACUUGCACGAGAGCCAUAUCAUGGUUUGAGGAGUAUAAUGAAAAUGAUGCAACUGCAAACUCUUAUGAGAGCCAUAUCAUGGUUGAGAAGUACAAUGAAGAUAGUGCAAUCAAAAAUUUGAAAAAGGUGCAAUCGCAAACUCCCAUGAGAGCCUAUCAUGGAUUGAGGAGUACAACGAAGAAUGUGCCACAAAAAGUUGAAAAAUGUGCAAUCGCAAACUCGCACGAGAGCCUAUCAUGGUUUGAGGAGUACAAUGAAGAAGGUGCAACUACCCACUUCAAUGAGAGCUUACCAAAACUCGAGAAGCCCUUUCAUUUAACUUCACAUUGACUAUUUAUUACUUCUCUCACUGUCUUCGAUCACACCAUUGUAAUCAAAUUUUUUUCUCUUGCUUUUGGUCCUAACGAAAUGGUGAUGGUCAAGGAAGUUACAUCUUCAAACAAAAGGCACCUCCUUAUCACUAAUAGCCAUGAUGACUCUGCUGACAAAGGAACGAAAUUAUUGGUGCAUCCCUCUAUACAAGAAAUUUACUCUGGUGAUUGGUUUUCUCACAAGUAUUCCGAAUUAAAGGAUUGGUCACUAAAAUUUUCUCAAGAUGAUGGUACGAAAGUUCACUCCUUGAAAUUCCUUAUCAUAAUAAGGAGCCAAGGACAAUUGGCAGGCGAAUCCUAGAUGAGACUAAGGGUGCAAACGAGGCAAGUCGAAUCGAGUUUUGAAGUUAUUGAGUCGAGUUACACUUAUUUAUAUGCGAGCUCGAGUUCGAGGUCGAAAAAUAGAGCUCGAACUCGGCUCGAUGUAGGAAAAGGAAAACUCGAGAUCGACUCGCUUAUGGCUCGCGAGUUUAGCUCGAAUUCUGGCUCGCGAGCAGCUCGAGUUUUGCUAGAUUUUCUGGCUCGCAUGAAGCUCGAAGUCAGCUCGAUUCUAGCUCGUUAGGAGCUCCAGUUCGAACUCGAAAACAGCUCGAUUUUCUGGAAAUUUAUGCAAGAAAACAGAAUUUUUGUCCGCAUAUUUUUGAUAAAAUUUGAGCAUGAUAACAAUAAGUUUUCACAUAUUCUUGAUCUUGAGGCCUACAAAUUAUGCACUAAUACAAUCAUAAAUGUCCAAAUGUCCACUAAUACAAAUUAUCCAAAUGUCCACAAAUGUCCACUAAUACAAAUUAUCCAAAUGUCCACAAGAAGUCUGAAGAAUACCAGCUUGUUGUCCACAAAAACCAAGGCAUGACAUGAAGCGAGAAUUUCCUGACUGCGUCCUGGAACUUUACUCAUUUCUGUCUCUAAUUCCUCAUGAUCAGUUAGUCCACCAACAUUGAACAAUAUGGAUCAGGAAUGGGGAAAAAUCACUUUCUAACACUCAAGAUCACAUACAACUCAUAUCCAACAAAUAUCCUGAAGUUUCAUGAGUAUAAUCACAUUAAAAGAGAAAAGGAUACUGACAAGCAUGCUAAUCAAACUCAAGCAGAAAAGGUACUUUCUCCUUGCCGUCUCCGACAUCCCAGCCAGCAAAUGGCUGGGGUUCGUGACAGCUGUUUGGGUCCAAUCCAUCUCCGGCAACAACUAUACCUUCUCCAAUUACUCCGACGCCCUCAAAUCACUCAUGGCCCUCACUCAGCUCCAACUCAACAACCUCUCCGUCGCCAAUUGAUGUCAUUAAAGCAGAAAAUCGGCCUGAUGGCCUCCACCAGCUGCCAUCCCUAAUCCAAGAAGGUCGAGUGUAGUAUGCUUAGGACCAAAUACAGAUGGAGUUCCCAACAUCAGUUCCUUCAAGCUAGACCCACCAUCACACGGCAGCCCUAGUCCUAGGCCUACUACCAAUGAUGCACUAUCAGACUCAAUUGCCCUCCCACUCUUCGCCCGGAAAGACAGUGGUGAAAAGAGGUAAGGAGGUGGCGGCAAAGAGCGACGGGUUAGCCAAAGUUAGAAGAUCCUCUUUUUCUAGAUUUGCAAGUUUCCUACUCUAGAGACAAAAAUGUCCUUGAUAUUUGGUCGUGCAUCUUACAAGAUAAUGCUUUCCGUCAAUUUUAACCGUUGGAUUUGACGGAAGGGCCAUGAAUAUGCUAUUUUAUUAGAUCGAGAGCCAAAAUUUUACCGUUAAUUGUUGGAGGGUUAAAACUUUAUCUGGAAAAGAGUUGGAGGGCCAUUGGAACUCUUUUUCCAAAAAAAAAAAGUCACUUUUGUCAUUUGUCCGAGAACAGUUCAGGGGCCAUCUCGACAGUAUAUAUUUUUCUUACAUGCCAAGACAAUUAAUGAAAAUUGACCAAUAACACACGCACACACACGCGCACGCACACACACACACACUCUCUCUCUCUCGGUUGCUGCCAAGUCUUUCCACUGAAAAGGAAAAUUCAUAUUGUUUACAUAGAUAAAUUACCUCCAGUCCGUGGAAUGUCUUGAUGUUAGGUGAGUUCCAAUAUUUUGGUAUCAUCUAAUGUUCAUUUGUGAAAGAUUGAGAAAUGAUAAAGAGCAAAACACCAAUUUAUUCCAUAAAUUAUUUUGCUAAAAUCAAAAUAGUCCAUAAAUUUUCUUUUGGCCAAAUUUUUGUCAUGAACUUUCAGAAACGGUUGCUUCCUGCAACCGUUGGUGAGGGAUUUCAUCCGGAUUGCUUGUGCAGUUGAGUAACUAUACAGAAAUUCUUUUUGGGAUGCUGAGUAUCUUAGGGUGGGUACAAUGAUCGCUUAGAUCAGUAGAGAUGAUUGAUGAUGUAGUAGGGGAAGAUUCCCUUUAUAAAGCUGAUUUUCUCAUGAUUAAUAAGAAUAUAAAUGUUACCAAAUUUUCUUUUCAAAUGUGUAACGAAAAUAUUGGCCAUGAUCAGCAAGACCUCCUUAAUUAUAAAAGUUUCUUGAAUGUCAUCAUCCAAUUUGUUUAAGCGAGGAUUUUUAAAUGCUAUCUUUAAGCAAAUUGAUUUUUGUAUUAUAGAUACUUACUACUAUUACUUCAUACCUAGCUACAAACCUCAUGUAUGUUUUAAUCCAGAACAAAUCAGGGCCAUGGGCCACCUUGCACAUAGCGAGAGUGGAAAAAUAAAACUACACAAUUGCUUUUUUGAAGCCAGUGACUCAACUGAUUUUGCGCUCGGCAAUUCAUCCGAUUUUCAUUAAAAGGGCCCUAAGAGGCCAUUGGCGUUUUGGGCCUGUGAAAAUUUGGAUGAUUUGGUGUGUCCAAUGCAUGUGUAAGCACAAAUUUUGUUGUCUAAAAUAAAAGACAAGAAAACUUACAUAAAUAUCAAAUUUAUUAAAUUAAAUAACAAGAGGGUUACAAUAUUUGAAAAUUUUUGAAUCAAAGAAAUUAAUCUCCUAAUUUUUAUCUUCAAAAGGCUUUAAUCGGAAGGCCAAAAAGGCUUGUUCUCCGAUCAAGAGGGUGUUUUCUAUGAUUUCUAUGUAAAAAACGGCUGCUUUGAUGAUGACGUUAAUAUUUGAAUCUUUAAAUCUUCAACGCCGAUGGAAGGAGGAUUUAUUUAACUUAAUUUGGAUUUGGAUUUGAAUUUGAGGGAUAAAGCUCUCGACAGAAUUUGACAAAGUUACUUUGAAAUUUAGGAAUUUUAAUGUAUUUUUGCCUUGAGGGAAGACCUUUAUUUAGAGUCAACUUAUGCAAGCUAUGUCUUCAAGAGAAUCCUUCAAAACCAUCUUGCGUUUGGGUAACUUGUACCUUAAGAAACCCAUUUAACUUGGAGUUAAAUAGUGGUCCGACCCAAAUAGUCAAUUGUGAAUUAACAAAUCAAUUAAAUCACUUUAAUUUAAAUGGGCAUCAUAUUUUUUAUUUGAUUAAAUAGCUCAUAUAACAUUGGCUCAAUUUGUCAAUCCAAAACAUAAUGAACUUCUAUAAUUUAAUUCAAUUUAACUAAGAUCAAUUUAAUUUACUUAAUCUUGACUAAAAAUAAAUUAAAUAAAUUUUCGUUGUCUAUGUCCCCACUUCAAAACUUGGCGAGGCAUUGCAUGUUAAUUGCUGGAGGCAAGACUUGAAGUAUUAAUUUUACUGCUGACCUAAAGUCAAACUAAAUUAAAGACUUCAAGCGUUCGGCAUACGGGUGAUCCACUUUUUUUUUUUUUUUUUUUUUUUCCUUUUUCUUUGGGAAGAGAAUGGUCCACAUCAAUUGUAGAAUUGCACCUCAAAGUCCAAUUGAAUAGGCAACGGUCACGGGUCUUCACUUUCACCUACUACUUGAAUAAAGCCUUGAAGCUCUUGAAUUUUCCAACUCUUAAUUUAGUCGUCAAUGGAAGUGCAGCCCCACAAUAUUAGACCGCAACUUUGACCCGUAGAAUUAGAAACCCCCGUUUGAUUAUGCGAUGUGGGCUCCUGCGCAGAAACUCCCAUAUGCUGAAAUUUGGAGUUUGCUCGUACGUUUCUGACCACCAAAUCUUGUUUUGGCACUUGGCAAUAUGGAAUUUGCUGAGUUUCAACGCUUCCUAAACGGAACUUUAAUGUAUUUCCAAAACCAAUGUUUGCAACUUCUGAAUAAGAAUAUGCCAAAUUUUAAGAGCUUCCCAAAUUGACUUCCAGCCAUUGAAAUUAUUCUUGGGAACCAAAUUCAAAUGAUUUCCAAAAAGUUAAACGAUAAUCACUGAAUUUAGUAUCUGUCCAAAACUUAAAACUUCUUAAUAUGAUUCAUCUAAGCACCUUUAUAUAUAUAUAUAUAUAUAUAUAUAUAUAUAUAUAUAUAGGUACAGAAGACAUGUCUUUGUCUUGAAACUGUGACAAACAGGACAUUUAUGACAAGGGCGUGUGAAGACUACCACGCUAUUUGAGGGAAAAAAAACCUGUUUGACACGUAUAUCUUGAAGGUAAUCAUCUUUAUUGUCUUUUGACAACUUCAUGUUGGUCGAGUAUCAGAUAUUCACCAAAUUUUGUUGAAAUCUGUCAAAACUUGAUUUGUUUCUAAUUUGGAGAAAAAAAAAGAUUUUUUUCUUCGUUUCUGCAAUUUUCCAGGUCACUCUUUCCUCUCAACAUGUUACGAUUCAGAAAUUGAGACAAAUCUUGUACAUAGGAAUCUUUUUUAACAGCUGAUGGUUGGAAUUUAGCAGACACCUUGAAGUCAAAGAAGGCAACUAGCAUUCCAAUAGCAUUAUUUGGUUGCAUGCCAUAUCCAAGAUUUUCACUAGUAAGCCACCAUUUUCUUGCUUUUGAUUGUUAUUCUUUCUCUGUUGCACAAUUUUAUUUUCGCACAAUCCAUUUUUUUUCUUUGAAUUUUCUCUUUUGCAAAACAGAGACCACCAAGGAAAGACAGAAAGAUUUUUUGUUUUUGUUUUUGUUUUUGUUUUUGUUUUUGUUUUUUUUUUUUAUGGUUGCACCUUGUGUUGGCACCCCUUAUUUGAAGCAAGUUGAUGUUCCAGUUGUGUUGGGGAUUUUAGGGCCAUAGCUCUUAGAACUCAAAAUACUAAUGUAAUUUCCGCACUCCAUGACAUUUACUUCUUGUCAAUGCCAAACUCUCCUCUUUUUUUUUGUGAUAUGAAAGGAAGAUCUCUCGUUGCAACAUAUAUGGUGGACACUCAAUUUGAAAGAAGGUGCAACCACCAACUUGCACGAGAGCCAUAUCAUGGUUUGAGGAGUAUAAUGAAAAUGAUGCAACUGCAAACUCUUAUGAGAGCCAUAUCAUGGUUGAGAAGUACAAUGAAGAUAGUGCAAUCAAAAAUUUGAAAAAGGUGCAAUCGCAAACUCCCAUGAGAGCCUAUCAUGGAUUGAGGAGUACAACGAAGAAGGUGCCACAAAAUGUCGAAAAAUGUGCAAUCGCAAACUUGCACGAGAGCCUAUCAUGGUUUGAGGAGUACAAUGAAGAAAGUGCAACUACCCACUUCAAUGAGAGCUUACCAAAACUCGAGAAGCCCUUUCAUUUAACUUCACAUUGACUAUUUAUUACUUCUCUCACUGUCUUCGAUCACACCAUUGUAAUCAAAUUUUUUUCUCUUGCUUUUAUUGCAAGUUGGUCCUAACGAAAUGGUGAUGGUCAAGGAAGUUACAUCUUCAAACAAAAGGUACCUCCUUAUCACUAAUAGCCAUGAUGACUCUGCUGACAAAGGAAUGAAAUUAUUGGUGCAUCCCUCUAUACAAGAAACUUACUCUGGUGAUUGGUUUUCUCACAAAUAUUCCGAAUUAAAGGAUUGGUCACUAAAAUUUUCUCAAGAUGAUGGUACAAAAGUUCACUCCUUGAAAUUCCUUAUCAUAAUAAGGAGCCAAGGACAAUUGGCAGGCGAAUCAUAGAUGAAGACACACACUGGGGUGCUUCCUUGAGAUUUAGUGAUGAAUUUGGUUAUAUCGAGAAUUAUUAGGAGCGGUUGGAAGAUAUUUUUGGAAAAAACAAACAAGUGUUUCGUGAAAAUUACUUGUUCGAUGUCUUAUAUGCUUCGCUUCUCAUAUAUAACAAAAAUUCUCAUGUGUUUAGAGCAUUUUGCGAGACAUGGUGCCUAAACACUAAUACCUUGCAUAUGUCAAUUGGAGAAUUAUCUCUCUCACUUUGGGAUCUGUGUAAAUUAGAAGGACUUCCAAUCAUCGGAUACAUCUAUGAAGAGGCGAUCCCAUGUGUAGAGGAACUAACUGGAGUUAAUGAAAAGAAGUUGAUGCAUAUUCCGCAAAAUUGUGAGUAUUUGUUCGCGGCUCUGCACUACCUUCAACAUGGAGAAUACUACAAUUAUGGAGUUUCUGCUAGCCAAUAGAUUAACUUUUGGUUUAAAGGCAACGUGAGGUAUUCAAAACCAAAACAGAGAAGGAUAAAGAGAGCAUCUAGUGCUUAAGCAACCCAAAAUCCAGAUGGAAAGAUUGGACAACCACGUAAUUUUUAAUUCAAGACAAUGGCAUAUAUGAUACCAUUGGAGACAAGUCUCACUUACGAGAAGAGACUUAUCUUGUAGCAUUUAUAUCUUGUUGACUCUACGUUUUUACUCUACCAGAUGAGGACGUCUAUUAUAUUAGACUAUCUACCUUCAAAAUGGCUAGCAUGAUGGCUGUCGGAUAUAAAACUUGCCUUGCUGUUCCUGUCUUGCUGAGUAUCUAUCACGGAUUCAAUAAAAUUUCAAAUUCAUCUACUCCAAGGUGUGCGCGUGCAUUUUUUUCAAUGCACUACGUGUAUGCUUAACUGGCGAGUUAUUUCUCUACCCAUUAUUCAACUCCGAAUAUCAUGCCUGGACCAACAAUUAUCAAUUAUUCUGGAAAGGGUGUGCACAAUAUUUUGAUGAAAAUAGUGCUUGCGACCUCAUUCAUCAAGGAGACAAAGUAACUUGGGGGACAACUUCUCUUGUGAAGAAUUAAAAUGAAUUUUUUGUUGAUGAUGGCAAGUUAGCGAACCCAGAACUGAUUUAUUUCGUAAGUGCUUGCUCAAAUUAUUUAGUCUUACAUGCUGAAGGAGAUUUUCUUGUUGAGCCAUACAGGUUUGCAAGGCAAUUCGAAUUUUAUCAAAACACCCCACAAGAACUGGGAGCAGAUGUUCAUUCUACAAAUUAUGACUUGAGUCAAAUACUUUGACACAUUGCUAUUCAUAAUAAGACAGAGUCGAAGGUAUUUUUUUCUAGUUACCCCUUGAAUGCUAACAAGCAUAUAUCUCCAGAUUUUCAAACAUGAUGUUUUGAUUAAGAGUGUCCAACCAAAUUUGAAACAGAAGAAAUCGAAAGGAAAGAAACUUGCAAAUUUGAAUAAUCCUGUCAAGGUUGGCAGUAAUCUUGAGGCGAAACAGAAAAUCACCAAGACUGUGAGGAUUGAGGAGAAAGCAUUGCAGAGCUCCAGCAACUCGUGAAAUUCUAAUUUUCAAUGAAGAAUUUUCGAAUGGUAAUUCAUUUUGUCUUCCUUCAAUAAUUGUAAAAGCCACCAAUCAUGAGUCUCGCAAUUCCAAUGAAAAGAAGAGGAGCAACUCUUUUGAUGAGAAGGAUGAGCAAUCUACUAGUACAGACUAGCACUAGAAGCAUAAGAAAUUCAAGGUAAUGACUUUCUCUUUGGAUGAUAUUGUUUUAGACCCUAAAGAAAUGUUUAAGGACAUUCUGGACAAAUAUGUGCUUGGUAUAAGUCAUGCCAAUAUUAUAAGAACAUUCUCUUGCCUUCUUUAGUUUGGCAUUUGAAAUUUACUUAUCAAUUUCAUAUUCAUGAUAUGUCUCAUAACAUUUUCCAUGUAGUUGAAUGAUCAAAACUUGAUUUUUAUUAAUGAUGGGAAAUCAAGCUAAGAAUUCGUUGAAGGACCCACUAUAUUUUAACUUUUAACAAAACAAGUGGUCAAUUCUACUCAAUAAAAGGGCAUCAUUGAAAAUUUCAAAAAGGCAGUGCAUGAUGAAAAUUCAGUUCAACAAAUCAUGCUACAGAAGAAAGAACAUGUGACUUCACCGGAGAAAAAAAAGUUCAAAAUUUUUGAUCCACAACCGUAGCCAAGGGCACCUCAAGUGUCUGAAUUUUGCCCCCAAACUAUGAUCUUAACAUGUCAUCGAGAUUACAUUCAAAUGCUCUGAAAUAAUUUGAAGGUGCUGAUAUCCGAAACAAUCCUGGAACGCAUUUCUGCUCUUAAGAUGAAAGCAAAUGAAAUCAUGGAGGAAAUGCAAAGUUUCAAUGCUAUGAAUAUUUCAAACUUGUAAGGCCUUUUAAAGCCUUUCUUUACAAAACCAAUUCGUUCUGUCGUAAUAAAGUCUUCUUUCUCAAAUAAAAUUUCAAUUGAAUCAUAUAAUGAGUUGUUUUCUAUAGCUACCCAACAUCUUAGAGAUGCUCAGAGUAAGGAGAAAUAAUAACUUAAAAAGUUCUCAACGUACAUGUUAAAAUUUAAAGAGAUUGACCAUGAGAAAAUAGAGCUAAGGAAAUGACUUGAAUCUAUGGGUACUCAUAGGAUGGAAAUACUUUCACUGCUACGAAAGAAACAAGACGAGCUUACCUAAAUGCAAGGCAAGAUGAUCAACUUAUGAAAUGAAAUUCAAAAGAUUGAAGAUUCCCUAUCUUUACUUGUUGAGGAGAGCCAAACAUUGAACAAAAUGCAAGCACUACUUGAAAGCAACUGCAAAAAACUGUCAUCAUUUGAACUUUAGAAUUAGUUACAAUCUUUUACUUUUUUCAAAUUUUAUUUAUUGUCACUUGCCUAUAUUAUAUAGCCACAGGCAUAAUUAAUUUUUUAUUUCACCAUGAAUCAUGAUUUUUUUUAUUUCAUGAUACUCUUGUGGAUAUUUCUUACUUUCCUUUGUUGCUUUCAUUAACCACCAUUUUAGACUAUCGAUUGCAAAAUAAACAAUUCAACAUUUGCAUAAUUUUAAUCACAUUUGAAGAGGUAAUUGUCUACAUAAUUUGAUAAUUUGAACAAUAUACUUUCAGGUGUAUGUUGCAAAGUAAUUUGAAUUGCCCUAAAGAGAAAAACUUUUUAUCUUUUAUUGCAUGACAUCUUUAUGGGGUUGUAACUGAAUUUCGAAGUUACCAUCUAAACUGUUUGCAUAUCCCAAAAGGGAAUAAAUUCACGUGUAGUUCCUACCAUCCACAGUUUAAUUUCUUGCAGGUCAGGAGUAUCUAUUUGCUUAUCACUUUAAACUUGGUGGAGUGUUUUAGUAGUUUAACCAUAUACUACACUAUUGGUGAUUGCCGUCCACAGUUUUAACUCAUAUGGACCAAGAGCAACAUGCAGUUUAGACUCAUGUGUCAUGAAACAACAUGCAGUUUAGGGUCAUGCGUCAUGUUGUCCUUUAUUUUUUUUAUGGCGUGUAUAAUCUUAAGAAAUUUUCAUUUAUGGGUCAACAUUUACACCAUUUUGUCAACUACCUUGUACGCGUUAUUUGUAUAAACAUUUCGGAUAAUAUAUGGUCCAUCCUAUUCGGAGACAAAUUUAUCUUUAGCAUGAUGAGUCAUAACUAUUGAUUUUCGAACGGCGAACACUAUGUCACCAAUUUGAAAGGAAUGAUGAUGAUAGCUUUAGAAAGGUAAGCCUGGUAGCAUUCAAGAUUUUGUUGAGUUUCCAAUUCCUUUUCAUCUAAAGUUUCUAAUUCUUUAAGAAGCAAGCAAAUAUUUUCUUUCUCCAUGAGCCCUUAUUGGAUGGCAAUUCUCAGAGAAAGAAUUUGUUGUUCAAGAAGCAAGACAACUUCUACACCAUAAACUAAGGCAUCAGGGGUGGCUUGCAUUGGAAUUCGAUAUGUGGUGCGAUAAACGCAGAGAGUUUCACCUAUCAUUUCAUGCCAAUCCUUCUUUGAUCUGGCCAUCACUUUUUUCAACAAGUUGCAUAGAGUUUUAUUGAAUGCCUAAACAAUACUGUUGGCAGGGACAUUAUACAUAAAGGACUUGCGAUGUUUGAAUUUAAAUUUCUCACACAACCUAUCCAUUAAACAGUUGAAGAAGGGUUUCCAUUAUCAGUGAUAAUGUGUUAGAGAAUUUCAUAACGAUAAAUAAUAUUUACACGAAUGAAAUUCACCAUAUCUUCUUUUCUCACUUGAGUGGUAUAGUUUCAUCCCAUUUAGAGAAGUAGUUGGUUGUAACCAAUAUAUAUAGAUGUUGUCCGAACGACUUAGGCAAUGGUCCAACAACAUUAAGGUCCCAGGCAUCAAAAGGCUAAGAAGUAAUAGUCAAAUGUAAUAGUUCGGGUAAUUGAUGAAUGUAAUUUGCAUAGAAUUGACAAGUUUGACACCUUUGAGCGUAUUCCAUACAAUCUUUGACCAUAGUAAGGCAAUAAUAGCCCAUCAUUUUAAUCCAAAAAUGCAACUUGGGACCGAAUUGGUGAGUUUGACAUAUUUCAAAAUGUGCCUCUUGCAUAGCUUGAUAUUCAUUAUCUUCAUUCAGACAGCGCAAGAAUACACUUUCAAAUGAUUUUUGAUAUAGCGUAUCUUUGUAUAAGAUGAAACGGGGGCACGACAAUAGAUAUCAAAUCUUUUAUGUUGCUCCUUAGGUACCUUUUGAUACUUGAUAUAAUUGAUAACAGGUUGUCUCCAAUCUUCUUUAUCAACUUCAUAAGUUGAGACGACAUAAGCAUCACCUUCCUCAAUAUUUUCAUUAUCAAAUAAUGGUGAAACUAUCCACUUUUGAUACACACGAACUUGUAUUUCAUAAUUUGACAUAGUCAGAGAAGAAGCAAGCAUAGCUAAUGCAUGAGUUUGCUUAUUUUCUCUUUUAGGGACAUGUUCAAUACUUGUACCUUCAAGUUACCUUAUAAGUUGCGUUGCAUUCUUGUGAUAUGGAAUUAAUUUAAAUUUUUUAACAUCAUAAUUUCCCAAGGGUUGACUAACGACUAAUUGUGAGUUGCCAUAGAUUUGAAACUCAAAUUAUUUCAUGUCAAUAGUUAUUUCAAGUCCGAAUAUGAGGGUUUGAUACUUAACGACAUUAUUUGAACAACGUUGAUUUAGAAUAAAGGAGUAUGGCAAAACUUCUUCAUCAGAUGUUGUAAAUACAAUUUUGACUCCAACUCCAUGACGAUGAGUAGCAGAUUUCAAUAAGGAGUACAUUUUUAUUUGGUAGAUCAUCACUUAACUCCCAUUCAACAAGUAUCGGGUGAUCAAUAAGAAAAUCUACUAGUACUUAACCCUUCACGGCCUUUUGGAAUACAUAAAUAAUUUUAAAUUAUUGUAACUAGGUACCAUUUAGCUAGACAGUUGGAUAGUGUUGGUCUACUUAUCACGUAUUUUAUGAAGUUUGCCUUGAAGAUGAGUCUCACACUGUGUGCUUGAAAGUAGUGUUUUAACUUCUAUAUUAUAAAAAUAAGAGUUAAACACAACUUUUCAAUCGGUGAGUAGUUUAAUUUAUUAGAGAUCAUCAUAAAUAAUAAAGGGCAGUUUCUUUCACUUCAUUAUUUUCUUGUGCAACCAAUACCUCCACUAAACGUUCUUGGGUAACAAUGUAAAGAAUUAAUGGCUUUCUAUAAAUAGGUUCAAUCAAGACAGAUGCCUUCAUGAGAUAAGAUUUAAUGCUAUUGAAUGUAUUGCUGUACGCUUCAUUCCAUUGGAAUGGUACACCUUUCUUCAUAAGGUGAUUAAAUGGUUGACACCUUUCAAUUAAAUUUGAGAUAAACCUCCACAGAUAGGUUAAUCGCUCUUGAAGGCUUUUUAUUUCUGAAUAUUGCGAGAUUCAGGCAUUCUCAAUAUAGCAUCAAUGUUGACUCGAUCAAUUUUAAUACCUCGAUGACAGACCACAAAAUCAAGAAACUUUCCUGAUGUAACUCUAAAUGCACAUUUGAGAGGAUUCAAUUUGAGUUGAUAUAUUUUCAACCGAUCAAAAUUUUGUUUCAAAUCCUCCAAGUGAUUAUUUCUUUUUUUUUUUAUUUAACAACCAAAUCGUCCAUAUAACAUUUAAUAUUUUUAUGAAGCAUGUCAUCAAAAAUAUUUUACAUUAAUCUUUGAUAUGUAGUUUUGAUAUUUUCAAACUAAAGGGUAUUAUGUUAUAACAAUAAAUACCCUUAGGAGUAUGAAAUCUAGUGAGUUAUUUAUCCUCAGGUGUUAUUCGAAUUUGAUUAUAGUUAGAAAAGCUAUCCAUAAACGACAAACCCUCAGACCCAAUAAUUGCAUUAAUCAUGAGUUUGGUGAUGGGUAGAGAAAAAUCAUCUUUGGAACAAGCACUGUUAAGAUCCCUAAAAUUUACGUAGAUGUGAAUUUGCCUGUUCUUCUUUCGUACAGACAUGAUAUUUGAAAUUCAUGUGAAAGACUUAAAUUCAUGAAUAAAUCCAUCAUCAGUGAAUUUAUUGAUUUCAACUUCGAUCAAAUAGACCAAAUCGGGUCUAAAUCACCAUUGUACUUACAUUACAGGUCGAACUCCCUUUUUAAUAGGUAAAUGGUGGACUGCUACUUUUGAAUUUAGACCUAACAUUUCUUUAUAAGUUCAUGUAAAAAUAUCUUGAUACUCUUGCAAGAACUCAACAUAUGUCUUCUCUUCAUCAGAAUUCAAUAAAGCACUUACCUAUAUAGGAUAUGGGUCCUGUGAAGUGCCAAAAUUGAUUUUUUAAGUCAUCUACAGUGGCCUUAACGCCUUGUUCAAAUUCAGGUGAAGCAUCUUCAACAUCUUCUUCUUCUCCAAGGGAAUUAUUAUCAAAUAUGGUUAUAUGGUUGUAUGAAACAAUACUUUCUUCAUCAUCUUCCUUUGAUCUUGUUUCUACAAUAGUAUGCUCUCUAACCUUUAGUUCAGUCCCAUAAAUUAUUAUAAGAUUUGUACAUCUCCUCAUUCUUGAGAGAAUAAUGUUACCAAACUUAUAAAUGUUAUGGGGACAAUCAAAAGAUUCUUCAAAUUCUUUCAGUGAUUUUGUCAUUCUCCAUUUAUUCUUAUGAGAAUUUUGAGACUUUUAUUUUCUUUGUGGUCCUAGUCUUUUGAAGACGAAUACUCACAGAGCCUUAUCCCUAUUUUUAUGAAAAACGUGUGACUUAUUGACUAUUUUAGAAGAUUCAUCUCUUAUAGCAAUAAAUUGACUACCAGCUCUAUUGAUUUUGAUGCGAAUUGGUACAGGUGAAAAAUAGUAAAGAUCAGAUUUAGAAUUCUUAACAGCAUAUCCUUUCCCUUUCAACAUCUUUUGAGUAAGGUUUAACCCAUAAGUCACAUCGCUAGUGGCUUGAGGAGGUUUCAAUACCAGAGAUUUCUUGAAAUCAUACCCAAUUUUGGUAAGAAGUUUAUAAGCAAUAUAAUCAAAAGCUUCAUUAAUUCUUGACGUCAGUAGCAUAUCUUGCUUGAUGUCAAACUCUUUAUUAAGAUGAUCAAACCCUUUGAUUAAAGGCGAUGGUAUAUUCGUAGCAUCAAGUUUAGCCACAGGAAGAGUUAAUCCUUUCAGAGUUUUGUGUGGAAUUGAAGAUGGUUGUCCUUGUCCCAAUCUUGACUUGGGAGGGUAUCCGAAGACAACUGAUUUAUUUUUUAACAAUGAGGCAUCAAUUUUUUUAUGAACUACCUCUUUUGAUUUUGGAAUCACCACUUUCUUCGUUUUGCACUUGAUGAUUCGAGAUCUUGGAUUUUAACCAUAGAUGGAGAUUGUUUAAACUCAUUCUUUAUGUUAUACUGAUUUAUUUUUUAACAAUGAGGCAUCAAUUUCUUUCUGAACUACCUCUUUUGAUUUUGGAAUCACCACUUUCUUCCUUUUGCACUUGAUGAUUCGAGAUCUUGGAUUUUAACCACAGAUGGAGAUUGUUUAAACUCAUUCUUUAUGUUAUAUUUUUGGAUAUAAAAUUUAGCAUUAGCGAUAUGCAUUUCUACUUCAGUGUAAAGAUUAUAAUCAGUUUUCACACUUUUUACCACUCCAUUUCGGUAAUACUUGAAAUAUUGGUGAAGAGUUGAAAGCACAACCCCAUUUUCAUGAAUCCAGGGUCUUCCCAGUAGCAUAUUAUUUAUUGUUUUAGUAUCUAUUACAUACAGUUGUGCUUUAGACAAUAUAUCAUCGAUAACUAUCUCUAAAUUUAACGAUCCAAUAGCUCUUUGCCCUCCUUGAUUAAGGUCUUGUAUUAUUAGUCAGCUUAUUGGAAAGUUUAUCAAUGGAGAUGCCAAAUUCCUUUAGAGUUUUUAAGACAAGGCUAUUGACAGCAGAACCUCUCUCUAUCAAAAUUUUAUUCACAUUUUAUUUUUUAGCAUAAACAGUUACAAACAAAGGACGGUUAUGUGAUGUUGACCCAAAAAACAAGUUGAUAGGGUGUUAAUUGUUAGUAAUUUUAUUGCUAUUUUUCCCCUUUGUCCUUGCCAAAUAUUAUUUUAAUUGUUAACAUAUACUUAUUUUUGGUAUUUGGACCAAUCUACAGGAAGUGGAACUGACAAAUGCUAAAAAGGAGAUUUUAUUGAGAAAAAUCCUUCACAUGCUAGAGCCUCCAGCGGAUAUACAAGUUGGGCCCACAUGGUGUUACAAAUUCGGUUGCUGAUGGGGAGCUCUUAUUAUUGGGAGUUGACUUGUACGUGUAGGAGUCCUCCUACCAAGAGGAAACAAGAAAAAAGGAAUUCGGCAGAGGCCCAUCUUUUGUACUUAGCUUUCUCAAUUCGGUAGGGACCAUGGACUAGAGGUUUUCAUUAGUGAUUGGACUUUAAAAGGGAAGAAACGUAUAGAGGCUUGGGGAUUAUUAUGAUUAGCGUAGCUUUAGUUUUAGUGGUUAGCUAGCGUUUCCUUUUCAUGCGCACGAGGUGCUCGACAAUAUUUUUCAACGGGAAAAAAAAACAUCUUUUACUCUUGCUUUCUAGUGAAAAACUUGAUGCCUUUGCAAUCAAUUAAUUUGCGUGGAGAUUUAAUUAUGCGGCGUGGCUAAGCCUUUUAUCUAGUCAAGGAUCAACUCGACGGCGCAGUCCCAAAUAUCUGUGAGAUCUAAUUAGUUUUCACGCGUUUCUUAAUUUGUUAAUAUUUGCAUGUUGCCUAUUUGAAUUUCCACGGGAUUAUUUUGUUAAUUGGAUAUCAAGAGCCCGAUGUUCAAUGUGACUUAUUAAUUUCCUGCCAAAUUAGUCAAUUAAAUCCGUAAUUGUUUGAUUGAUUAAUAUUAGUAGCAACUGACAUGUUUACACACUAGAAGAACGUGCAAUCUAAUUUAAAUAACCCUCGUAGCGUGUUAUUGAUUGGGAUUAGAUUUUUCUAGUUAUUAAUGCAAUUGGGAAAUUAAUUCAUACAGUUGUACCUAGGAGUAUUUUCUGGUUAGGAGUAAUCAUUGGUCGUACCUUGGUUAUCAAUAAAUUAAGGAAAAAUUGGUCGUUAGAAUUCGUCGGCGACUAUAACUAGCCUAUUAAUAAAUUAAGUGAACCUCCCUUGCAUCAAUGAUCGGGUAAGUGGACUGUGUCUGAGUAGUUGUAUUCUUAACUAAAAUUUAUCUAUUCUUGAUUUAAUUCCUGCCUAUAUUCGUGCUAAUUAAUUAUUUAUUUUUAGUGAAUUGCUUAAUUAUUUUUAGUUUUACUCCAAUAAAAUUCCUCUUUACCAAUUGGAAUCUCAAAAAGACAAAUAUUCUCAGUCCCUGAAGAGACGACCCUACUUGCCAUUGUCUACUAUUUAGUAAGUUUUGUCAACUAAUUAAUUUUGGUAUAUCGGAUUAAGCAAAUUUUUCGGGAACAGGGUGAAUUAAGUAACCUAUUGCACAUCUAGAGUCCCGGCUCUAAUAUCUAGGAUUCAUUAUUGACUGCUUUUAGUGGUAUUUAGGUUAUUAUUAUUAUUAUUGCACAGUCUCGACACCUGUCAAUUUUUGGCGUCGCUGCCAGGGACUGGCGUUAAUUAUUUGUUUUUUUAAGUUCAAUUUUGUUCUAAUUUUCUGGUAUUUUUUCUAAUUUAUGCAUCAUUCUUCUCGUAUAAGUGAAUUAAUUUUCGACCCUGAAGUAGAGAAGAUCGCGCGUAGAACGAGAAAAGAAACCAGACAAUUCAGAGAAGAGCACUCAAGUACUACAUCUCAGAGACUUGAGCCGGAAGUUGAACCGGCAAAUUCGUUUGGUAACACUUCGAGUGACUCGGAUCAAGAGAAACUCACCAUGGCAAAUGCACAAACAUUAAGGGAGUUGGCUGCUUCUAAUUUAAAUCAACAGCCUUUAUGCAUUGCUUUCCCAAGUUUGAAUGAUGACACCCUCUUUGAACUAAAAUCUGGUCUAAUUCAUCUCUUGCCAUCUUUUCAUGGUUUACCAGGUAAGGAGCCCUACAAACAUUUACAAGAGUUUGAUGUUGUUUGCAACAGUAUGAAACCCCCGGGAAUCACAGAAAAGCUGAUAAAAAUGAGGGCCCUCCCCUUCUCUUUGAAGGAUUCAGCGAAAGAUUGGCUAUACUACCUACCACCAGGUAGUAUCACCACGUGGGACCAGUUGAAAAAAAAAUUCUUAGACAAAUAUUUUCCUGCGUCUCGGGCCGCCAGCUUAAGGAAAGAGAUAUGCGGUAUCAAACAACACCCAGGCGAGUCUCUCUAUGAGUACUGCGAGAGGUUUAAGAAGCUGUGUAUCAAAUGCCCUCAGCAUCAGAUAAGUGAGCAACUGCUCAUCCAAUAUUUCUAUGAGGGACUACUCUUCACGGACUGGAGCAUAAUCGAUGUUGCCAGUAAAGGGGCGCUAGUGAACAAGACCCCUCGAAAAUCUUGGGAGUUGAUUGAGGGGAUGGCUGAAAAUUCACAGCAGUUUGGUGGGCAGUGGCGAUGGCGAAGGCUCGCGGGGGUGGAAGAGCCGUUGGCGCGACUGGGGCCGCGCGGCUGCUAGAAUCUAGUUGCAUCAGUCUCUGUGGUCCUUGGGAUCUUUGAUUCGGCUGUUCCAUAGCUUGUCGAUCCUUUGUUGCAUCCCUGUAGGCAUUGUAAUUCCUGUUGAUUGAGUUGUUAUCUAGUUUUUGAGGGCACCUCUAGUAGUUCCUUUAUUUGGGAGUUAUUUGGGGUUGAGUUGGGAGUUAUUGGCCAAUUGAUUCCUAUUUUGCUUUCGUCCUGUUUCUGGUACUGUAUGGUUUUGAUUGGGGGGUGUCUCAGUGGUUUGGGUUGCCUGUUUGAAUUGGUUCUUACCUGUGUGUGCACCAGUGGUACUGGUUGUGUUGGGAAUCCGUGACUGAUUUGUUCUUGUCCAAUUGAAGCCAUUUUGAGCAAUUUUGGGGUGAACACAUUUUGUCAUUAAUUGUUGAUUGUUGGGGGACGUUUUUGGUAACACUUGAGUUGAUAGGGUGUUAAUUAUUGGUUAUUUUAUUAUUAAUCUCCCUUUUUAUUCUUGCCAAAUAUUGCUUAAUUGUUAAUAUUUACUCAUAUUUGGUAUCUGGACUUAAUUUCAGGAAUGAAGUAGAAAACUACCAAAAAGGAGGGAUUUUAUGGAGAAUAUGGAAACUUCUAAGGGCUUCAAUUCUUGGGCCCUUGAAUUGGUGGGGACCACAAGCUAGUGAAAGGCAUUUAGUCAUUUGAGCUCUUCAAAAGAAGCUACGUAUAUUUUAUUUUAUUUUAUUUUAUUUAUUUUAUUUAUCUCUUAUUUUUUUUUAUAUAGUUUAUGGCUUCUAACACUUCGUAUUUUGGUGAUAUACUGGAUUUUGUUUCCGGGAAAGGCAAUGUGACUAGUUUUUUUGCUAAGUCUGCAUAUGCAGAGGCACUAAACUCUAUUAGAGAAAGAAUGGCUGCUGCAACCUGUAAAAUUUGUUAUACCAGGGAUCAUUCAACCGGUAUGUGCCCCGAAUAUCAAGAUAAUCUGAGUGUCCCAUUCGAUAAUUAUGGAGAAUUUUCACCCUGGUCUCAAACGUGGUACGACCCUAAUCCAAACGGGUAUGAUCAAGGAUGGUGGGAUAACUCCAAUUAUAAUUAUACAACGGGACCAAUGAAUUUUCAGCAGUAUGAGUCUCAAGAAUCGUCAUCUAUGUCAGGUAUGUCUCUUGAAGAAAUAGUUGAACCAAUAGCUACUAACACAUACCAAUUCCAACAGGAGACACAAAUGAGGAAUGAGAUGAUGAAGGAUGCAAUGAGUUAUCUGGCAGAUCAACUAUGUCUAUUGACAUCCAGAAUAAAUCGAUGGGCUUCUCAAAUGGAAGAACUGCCCUCGAAAACCAUUGUUGACCUAGAAGAAAAUGAGAGUGCAAUUUGCUUGACUAGUGAUGAGGAGAUGCAAGAGUGUCAAAAUGAAAAAUCUACAGAUACAGUUGAAAAAGAAGCCGAAAAGGAAGAAAUGGAACCCCAACCGCAACCCAUUCAAGUGAAAGAAUCCAGUGAAGAAUCAUCAAAUGUGGUGACACCACCUCCAUUCCCUAACCCGCAUUUUUUCUAACUCUUACUCUAUGAUUUCUGUUAAUGAGAUUGAUUUUGUUAUACCGGAAGUUUUUGAGUCUCAUGGCAGAAAUAAGUUGAGAGUGGAGAUGGCGAAAUAUCUUGAACCGUUGAAUGCUCUUGAUGGAGGAAUGGAUGAAGAAUUGCGAUCAAUGCUUGAUUAUGUGGCGCCAUCAACUAGUCCAUGGAAGCCCGUGGUUCGUGUGCUCAAAGAUUACUCCAUCUAUGAGGGUUACCAGGAUCAUAUUGAAGAUGAAGCAUUGAAGCGAGCUACAAGAUUUUAUCCUCCAUGAACAAGACAUAACAAUGUCUAGCCAAAGACAUUAAAGAAAGGCGUUUUUUGGGAGGCAACCCAAAUAUUGAUUUUAUUAUUUUUAGUUGUUCAAUUCUUUCGUUCUGUUGUUUCUCAUUUGGAUAGUAGUUGGUCUUGAUAUUUUUCUCCACUGUGAUCAGGAAGUGAAAUCUUGGCGUGCCCACGCGGUGUUUAGGUCUCCUGAGAUCAGAGGACGAACACCAAUCUUGGCGUGCCCACGCGGUGUUUGGGUCUCCUGAGGUCAGUGAAUGUUUUGUAAUCUUGGCAUGCCCACGCGGUGUUUGACGACCCAAAACAUGAAAAAAAAAAAGUUUCAAAAUUUCACAUUGAGAAAAUUCAAAAAUUCAAAAGGCAUUUUUCUUUUUCUUCAAAAAUUCAAAUUUUGGAAUUUCAAAUUCAGGAAAAAAUUUGAAAAAAAAACAUUGAGAAAAAAAAACCCAAAAAGAAAAAAUUAAGAUUCAAAAAAAAAAAAAAACUAUUUUUUUUUCUCUCUUUUUCUUUUUCUCUUUUCUUUUUCUUUUUUCUUUUCUUCUUUUUUCUUUCUUUCUUCCUUCACCACCGCAGCAGCUACCCCACGCGACUCUCCUCCGCCUACCCCAGCGCACAGCCCAGGCCACGCGCUCCCUCCUUCCUGCAGCCCGUCGACGAAGCCCACCAGCCACCACCAGCAGGCCGCGGCUCCUUCCCCCUUGCGCGGCCACAGCUCGCGAACCACCUCUCCCACAGCGCGCGGCCUUCUCCCUUAUCUUUUGGCCGCGCGUCAUUGGCUCGCCCAAGGGCAGCCGCCGCCGCCGUUCCUCACAGUCAAGCAAUCGCAGGCCAAAGCCCACAACCCCAGCCGGCGCCGCCCGCAGCUCCUCGUGCGUGACAGCCGUGCGACGCCGCGCCUCCCUCAGCAACAGCUCCAAGCUCCAGCUCACUCGCAGACAGCCGCGCGAUUCUCAGCCAUUCACCUCGCGCGACCCCGAGCGCACAAUUCCGCGUGCCGCCAUCGAAGACCGCCGCGCCUCUCCCUCAGCCCGCCAUUGCGCCCCACCACUGUCCCGCUGUCUACGGUUGGGCACAAGGGAGGUACUUUUAAAAGAAAUUUUUAAUUUAAAUACGAGAAUGUCAAUUUCUAAAUUCUGGGGCUGUUUAGUGAUUGUUUGGAUUUCUUGGUGGAUUUGGUUGGCCGUCUGAUUAAAUUCUUCCUUGUGUGAUAACCAGUGGUACUGGUUGGGGUCUUUCGACCAUAGUUGUUGCUUAUAUUUGGUCAGAUGUCUGCUUGUUUGAAAGUUCACGUUCUUGUGAUUGAGUUGUUGCUCAAAUUCUGAUCUGCUGUUGCUAGAACUUUUGGUUGGUUGAGUUGUGCAAUUGACUGUCCAAUUGGAGACAGUUAUUGAGAUCUUAGGUGGGAUGGUGUCCAAUUGCUAAAAUUUGUUGCUUUGUUUCGUCACUCGCACUGCUCCUAGUUUGUUCGAGUGAAAUUGGUUGGAUGUUCUUUGCCCGUGGAGUGUAACUGUUACAUUGUUUGGGGCAGUUUUUUGGUAUUGAUUGAAUUGUUGGGCGUAAAUUGCUCAGGACUUUACAUUGCUAAUUUGGUGGGCCAUUUAUUGUGCAUUACCCUUUUGAAUUGGGAGAUACCUGUGCUUAUUGGGUUUUGACUACUUGAGAUUUCUGUUGCAUCUGGGGGAUAAAAUUUGAUGACUUUUGUGCCAGUUUAUUUGUUUGGAAAUUGUUGGGGGUAAUUUGGGAGUUACUUGUCAAUUGGGUCCCGUGUUACCCUCUACCAUUCAGUGGUACUGAUUGGUGUGUUUGGCUUUAUCACAUGUCUUGGGUUGGCCAUUUGAUUUCAAUUUUCCUUGUGCAUGCACCAGUGGUACUGGUGAGGGUAGUUUACAUAAUAUUUGUUACUCCUGUGUUAUUGGUUGCCUAAUCGACUACUGGGCAUUUGUGGUUGAAUUGUUUCUGUCCAACUUCUGAACUGUUGUUGCUGGAGUGCCAUUUUCUUGGGUCAAUUGCUGAUUUUAGCAAGUUGAAGUGGGUAAUUGACUGUCCAAUUGGAGACAGUUGUUACGAUAUUGGGUCCGAUUGUGUCUAAUUGCUGGAAGUUGUUGAUUUAUUAAGACACUAGCACAGUUCCUAGUUUGUUCGAGUUGCUGUUCUGUUGCAUUAUUGGGAGCUGUGCUCUAGUAUUGUGGCUACUUUCCUGCGUUUAUUUGUUGAAUUGGGAUAUGAAUGUGCCUAUUGCUCAUUUUGUUGCAUCUAAUUGACUUGCUUGGGGUAAUCUGCCCAUCAAUUUUAAUUACUCAAGUCUUUGGAGCAGUUGUUGCACAUUUGGACUACUUUGUUUCUAUAUCUGACUGAAUUGGGACCACAAGUGCUUAUCAAUUGCAUUUGCUAUAAGUAUUGGGGUAUUCGUAUAGAUUUUAGGAGCCUGCAUUGUGCAUUUUAUUGUUUGGGUUGCCUACUAGUUACCAUGGUGAAGCCACGAUCCUCCCCCAGGGGCCGAUGACUGGCUCCAACUUUCGAUGACAGUUGAGAGACUGGAGACUCGAGUGACCCACAUUGACAUCGACUUGCAUAACAUGGCGCAGAAUUUGGCAGCACUCCGCCCGACCCGCCCCUGUUUUGACAAUUUCAAGGAAGUACCGUUGCCCUUCUCUUUACUUUUGUUGUUGGUUUAUCACAUUGAGGGCAAUGUGUGAUUUAGGUGUGGGGGGAUCAGUUUGGGUGCUAGUAUUUUUAGUUUUUAGGUUCUAGAGGUUUUUCUUUUGUUUUAGUUUGAUAUUUAGUUCUUUUUUUUUCGUCUAUUUUAUUUUAUUAUUAUUAUUUUUUUUUCUUUCUCCUUUUUUCUAGUGGUCAGUCUUCAUAUGAAUACCAAGUUUGAUACUGGAUUGUUGUCUCUAAUUCUGCUAUUGCCAAGUCUUAUUAAUAAAAGGGUAUUAAGUUAAUGUGCUUGAGUUCAGGAAUAUCUCUUUGGUGAAUAUCGGUAAUUGCUUAACUUUUUCAAUUUUUGGUUAACUUUUCUAGGCAUAGGGAAUGAUUGUUGGCAUUUUUCAUGUGAAUUGGUUCAGUUAUUAAUUUUAGUUCUCCAUGUCUGGAAAUUUGAGGCUGGCUGCUGUUAAUCUUAUGUUGCUUUUAGAUAUCGUGUUAUAUGGUUGUAAAUAAGAGUUGACUGUACUCCGCUAGUGGUUACUACUGAGUAACCGGGGAUUUUCACCUAAAGUGUCGAUUCUCGCGUCAAAAGGUAGUAGUUGCUAUGAAUGCGUGGUCCUGUAGCGAUCGGAGCUGAGUAACCGGGCUCCUCCAUCUGAUAAAUGUUGGAGUUCGCGUCAAAAGGCUCUAAAUGGCUAGAGACUAAGUCUUUUGCUAUUCCCAAAAAAAAAAAGAAAAAAAACAAGUAAAGUUUGUGUUAGUAUUUAAAAAAAAAAAAAAGAAAGUCAGCUUGCCUAUUUGUGAUCUUAAUGUCGAGAUUUUGGUUAAUAGAUGGACCAUUUGCUGAUAAAUGUGAGCAACCAUUCCUUUUCCUUAGAUUAGUUUGCUUCAAAUUGAAGGAGUUGGUGGUUUAGAGGCUAAUCGGGGUGAUUUUUCUUGGAUGUUGACCUGUGAUGCUUGAUAUUUAUUUUUCUUGGACAUCUUGGCAAUACGGUAGUUGGAGUAACAGCCAUGGUCAACUUUUGGUGUUCAAUUGUUGUUCCCAUACUUGAGGGCAAACAUGAUUUAGGUGUGGGGGGAAUUGAUAGGGUGUUAAUUAUUGGUUAUUUUAUUAUUAAUCUCCCUUUUUAUCCUUGUCAAAUAUUGCUUAAUUGUUAAUAUUUACUCAUAUUUGGUAUCUGGAUUUAAUUUCAGGAAUGAAGUAGAAAACUACCAAAAAGGAGGGAUUUUAUGGAGAAUAUGGAAACUUCUAAGGGCUUCAAUUCUUGGGCCCUUGAAUUGGUGGGGACCACAAGCUAGUGAAAGGCAUUUAGUCAUUUGGGCUCUUCAAAAGAAGUUACAUAGAGAGACUUGGAGAAAGAAGUACUUUGGAGGCUUUGUCCAUAUGUGUGGGGACCACCUAGAUAGCUUUUAGUCAUCUUUCUUUUGUUGCUUUAAAAGGGGACAACGUACAGAAGCAAAGGACAUCUAGGGCUUUAGUUUUAGUUUUUUUAGUUUAGUUCUAGUUUCCUUUCUUUGGACUGGCCUCUGACACACGCCAGGUGUUCGACAAUAUUCCCCAACGGGAAGAUUUUCUCAUGAGGCGUGGUUAAGCUUUUCUAGUCAAGGGGACAACUGACGAUUUGGUUCGACAAUUACUGUGAGAUCGAAUCUGUUUUAAUUAUUUUCUUCAUUUAUUGGUAUUUAUAUGUUCCUUGAUUUUAAUUGCUAUGGCCUUGUGUAUGAUUGAUUAGUGCGCAAUAAUUAAUUAUUCAUAUAGGCUAUUUUUGCUAAAUAGGGGUAAUUGAAUCCGUAAUUGUUCGUUAUCUCUACCUCAGUAGCAACUGGCGUAAAUGGGUUUAUGUCAGGGGAGCAUAUGAUCUAAUUUAAACAAACCCUCGUAGCGUGUUUGUUGGUUAGGAUUGGGCCUUUCUAAUUAUUAAUGCAAUCUAGAAAUUAAAUCCUACGGUCGUACCUAGGGUUGUUUUUGGGUUAGAGAAAUAGCUAACGGUCGUACCUUAGCUAUCGAGAAAUUAAGGAAGGGUUGGUUGUUUAUCGCGUGCAUGACAACUAUAACUAAUCUAUUGCUAAAUGUUGGAAUUAUUUCUGCAUCAAUGAUCAGUGCAUGAACCAUUUCUGAUGUGUACCCUUGGCUAGAGUUUCCCCAAUCAUUUCUUUUAAUUAAUUAUUUUCUGCAGUUAAUUUAUUUAGUUAGCAUUUAAUCCAAAACCCCCCAUACUUUGGACUCUAGAAGAAACGAAUUAUCCCCAAUCCCUGUGGAUUCGACCCUACUCACCGCUAUAUACAAAAUCUGUAUCUUUAUUGAGUAGGUAUUUAUUAUUGUACAGGUUCGGCACCUGUCAAUUUUGGGGUGAACACAUUUUGUCAUUAAUUGUUGAUUGUUGGGGGACGUUUUUGGUAACACUUGAGUCUAUUUUGCUGAGUUCUGUUGAUAGAGCAGUUAUUUGGCACAUUUUACAGUGUUAUUUUGUCCUAAUUUUGGCUAUUCAUGGUGUUAAGAAUUGGAAUAUCACUCAUAUUUGAUGUUUGUGUGAAUUGUAGGUGGUCGGCAUUAAAAAUGACCUCUCAAGGCAAAUUUCUAGAAGACUCUUCGUCUCAGAGCAUGGCCACGCCAGAGAAGGUCGAUGUUACCGAAAAGCCGGACCCCGGUCCACGUGAACCGCAAGGAGCACGGGAUUAAAGCUCUAAAAGGCUAGCUUUUGUUUCAAUCAAUUGGGUCAGACAUGACUUGGCUCCUAGAGGCUUCAAUUAAAAAAGAAAAGAAAGGGCCAGACGUCGAGGGAAUGAGAAUGAGGAAACUAGGUCUACAUGGACCAGCUACACGGGAUAAAAACUCCAAUGAAGAGAAGAGCUCUGCUCCGCGUGGAUUUCCCCUGCGGCACUAUAUAAGACAACAAAAAAGGUGAUGCAGCGGAGAAUAUAGAUUAGCUUUGAUUUUCUUUUCGAGAGGGGUCAGGCGAUUGCAGACUUUUGUAGCUUUUCGGUUGUGACACUUGGACUCCUUGGCUUUUGUUUUGACUCUGCACAAUUUACGUUAGUUUUUGUUCGUACACUUGCGGCACCAAAGCAAAGACGAAGGCAGUGCCUUCUCUGUUGUUACUGCAAUUAAUUCCCCUUCCCCAAUUUUCGGCGAAUAAUUGAAUGAAUUCAAUUAAAUCACGCGGGAUUGACACGAUAAGGAGCGGCUAAUUUUCUCCUCUACCCAAAGGUUGACGCGAAGGCGCGGUCCAUAAUAUCUGUGAGAUCUAAUCGAAUUUUCAUUAUUUCUUUCAAUUUAUUGCUAUUCGUACGUUUCCUGAAUUAAUUGUUCAUGAGUAUUUUACUAAUUGAAUAUCAACGGCCGGGUAUUUGAUUUAAUUUAAUAGUCUACUGCCACGUUAAUUAAAUAGAAUCCGUAAUUGUUCAUUUAGUUAACACCUCGUGGCAACCACCAUAAUUGGCUUUAUGAUGGGAAAACGCAAGAUCUAAUUUAAAUAAACCCUCUUAGCGUAUUUAUUGGUUAGGGUUGGAUUCUUCUAGCUUUAAUGCAAUUGGGUAAUUAAAUUCUCACGGUCGUACCUAGGGUUGUUAUCUGGUUAGAGAAGCAGUCAAUGGUUGUACCUUGACUAUCGAAAAAGUAAGGAAGAACUGGUUGUCAGAGCUUAUUGAUAACUAUAACCAACCUAGUGAUGAAUGGAUGAAAUACCUUUGCAUUGAUGAGCAUCUGUCUUGAGUCCAUUGAAGUGCCGUUGGUUGAGUAAUUUCUGCGUCUUUUUGUUGAAUUGGAAGGCUAUUGUGACACUUCCAUUGCACUUUCGGAAUGCAUUGUUUCUGUAUUUGACUAAAUUCAGGCCACCAGUGCUUCUUGAUUGCAAUCACUGUGCUGUUGGGGUAUUUGUACAGCUUUGAGUACCUGAAUUGUGUUUGUGUUGGUUGGAGUACCAUUUAUAGAGAAUGGUGAGACCUAAAUCCUCCUCUAGGUCUAGGACACCUAGAACUUCUCAGCCUCCUCCCACCCUAGGGGCUAACGAUUGGCUCCAACUCCGAAUGCAAGUUAAGAGACCGGAGAUUCGAGUGACCCACAUUGACAUCAACUUGCAUACCAUGGUGCAGAAUUUGGCAACAAUUAUGCACCAUGCGGGUCUUGUUCCUCAGUUUCCGUCUGACCCACCCCUGUUUUGACGACUUCAGGGAAGCACCGGUGCUCUUUUGCUUACUUUUGCUAUUAAAUUAUCACAUUGAGGGCAAUGUGUGAUUUAGGUAUGGGGGGGAUCAGUUGUGGUACUAGUAUUUCCAGUUUUUGAUUUUUAAGUGUUUUUCCUUUGUUUUUAGUUUGAUAUUUUUCUCUUUUUCGUUUAUUUCUUUUAUUCGUGAUCAGCUCUUAUUUGAAUACCAAGUUUUGAUGUUGGAUUGUUGCCUCUAAUUCUGCUCUUGCCAAGUUUUAAUAAUAAAAGGGUAUCAAGUUAAUAUGGUUGAAUUCAGGAACAUCUCUUUGGUGAAUAUCAAUAAUUGCUUAACUUUUCCAAGUUUUGGUUAACUUUUCUAGGCAUAGGGAAUGAUUGUUGGCAUUUUUCAUGUAAAUUGGUCCAAUUAUUAAUUUUAGUUCUCUAUGUUUGGAAAUUUGAGGCUGACUGCUGUUAUUUUUAGUUAUUGUGUUAUAUGAUUGUAAAUAAUAGAUAACUGUACUCCAUUAGUUGUUACUACUGAGUAACCGGGGAUUUUCACCUAAAGUGUCGAUUCUCAUGUCAAAAGGUAGCAGUUACUAUGAGUGCGUGGUCCCGUAGCGAUUGGAGCUAAGUAACCGGGCUCCUCCAUCUGUCAAAUGUUGGAGUUCGCAUCAAAACGCUCUAAGGGUUAUAAACUAAGUCUUUUGUUAUUCAAAAAAAAAAAAGAAAAAAAGAAGCAGAAGAAAACAAAAGAAGCAGAUUGUGUUAGUAUAUGAAAAAGUCAGCUUGCCGAUUUGUGAUCUUAAUAUCGAGAUUUUGGUUAAUAGUUGGACCGUUUGCUGAUAAAUAUGAGCAACCAUUCCUUUUUCUUAGAUUAGUUUGCUUUAAAUUGGAAGAGUUGGUGGUUGGGAAGCUAAUCGGGGUAAUUUUUCUUUGAUCUUGACCUGUGAUGCUUGAUAUAUGUUUUUCUGGAUAUCUUGGCAAUACGGUAGUUGGAGCAAUAGCCAUUGUCAAAUUUUGGUGUUCAAUUUCUGCUCUCAUGCUUGAGGGCAAGUAUGGUUUAGGUGUGGGGGGAAUUGAUAGGGUGUUAAUUGUUAAUAAUUUUAUUGCUAUUUUUCCCCUUUGUCCUUGCCAAAUAUUAUUUUAAUUGUUAACAUAUACUUAUUUUUGGUAUUUGGACCAAUCUACAGGAAGUGGAACUGACAAAUGCUAAAAAGGAGAUUUUAUUGAGAAAAAUCCUUCACAUGCUAGAGCCUCCAGCGGAUAUACAAGUUGGGCCCACAUGGUGUUACAAAUUCGGUUGCUGAUGGGGAGCUCUUAUUAUUGGGAGUUGACUUGUACGUGUAGGAGUCCUCCUACCAAGAGGAAACAAGAAAAAAGGAAUUCGGCAGAGGCCCAUCUUUUGUACUUAGCUUUCUCAAUUCGGUAGGGACCAUGGACUAGAGGUUUUCAUUAGUGAUUGGACUUUAAAAGGGAAGAAACGUAUAGAGGCUUGGGGAUUAUUAUGAUUAGCGUAGCUUUAGUUUUAGUGGUUAGCUAGCGUUUCCUUUUCAUGCGCACGAGGUGCUCGACAAUAUUUUUCAACGGGAAAAAAAAACAUCUUUUACUCUUGCUUUCUAGUGAAAAACUUGAUGCCUUUGCAAUCAAUUAAUUUGCGUGGAGAUUUAAUUAUGCGGCGUGGCUAAGCCUUUCAUCUAGUUAAGGAUCAACUCGAUGGUACAGUCCCAAAUAUCUGUGAGAUCUAAUUAGUUUUCACGCGUUUCUUAAUUUGUUAAUAUUUGCACGUUGCCUAUUUGAAUUUUCAAGGGAUUAUUUUGUUAAUUGGAUGUCAAGGGCCCGAUGUUCAAUAUGGCUUAUUAAUCUCCUUCCAAAUUAGUCAAUUAAAUCCGUAAUUGUUUGAUUGAUUAAUAUUAGUGGCAACUGGCGUGUUUAUACACUAGGGGAACGUGCAAUCUAAUUUAAAUAACGCUCGUAGCGUGUUAUUGAUCGGGGUUAGGUUUUUCUAGUUAUUAAUGCAAUUGAAAAAUUAAUUCCUACGAUCGUACCUAGGAGUAUUUUCUGAUUAGGAAUAAUCAAUGGUCGUACCUUGAUUAUCAAUAAAUAAAAGAAAAAUUGGUCGUUAGAAUUCGUCGGCGACUAUAACUAGCCUAUUAAUAAAUUAAGUGAACCUCCCUUGCAUCAAUGAUCGAGUAAGUGGACUGUGUCUGAGUAGUUGUAUCAUUGGCUAGAAUUUAUCUAUUCUUGAUUUAAUUCCUGCCUAUAUUCGUGCAAGUUAAUUAUUUAUUUUUAGUGAAUUUUUUAAUUAUUUUUAGUUUUACUCCGAUAAAAUCCUCCUUUAUCAAUUGGAAUCUCAAAGAGACAAAUAUCCCCAGUCCUUGAGGAGAUGACUCUACUUGCCACUGUCUACUAUUUAGUAAGUUUUGUCAACUAAUUAAUUCUGAUAUAUCGGAUUAAGCAAACUUUUCGAGAAUAGGGUGAAUCAAGUAACCCAUUACACACCUAGAGUCCCUGCUCCAGUAUUUAGGAUUAAUUAUUGACUGUUUUUAGUGGUAUUUAUAUUUUUAUUAUUAUUAUUGCAUAGGCUCGACACCUGUCAAUUUUUGUGAUGUUGACCCAAACAACAAAGGACGGGUUAUGUGAUGUUGACCCAAAUAACAAGUCUUCACUAGUGAAUGUGAUAUUUGUGAUAUCCACCUCUUUAUUACCAGUGGGCACGUGAGUUAUCUCACAAGGAGAUUCGCGAGUAUCAUCCUUUGUUCUUCAAUAUCAUCAACUUGCGUUGUGUGACAUGAGACCAUAUCAAUAUCAAAGAAUCUUUUAGAUAUGAAUUCUUUUAAAAUGAUAGAAACUCGCGACUUUUGCUUGAAUACUUGAUUUUCUUGAAGAUUGUGAUUAUUAUUAUUUUUCUCUAUAUUCUUCUCUUUUCUCUUCCAGACCAUUCUACUUCUUGUUAAGGCCUUGUUUACCUUAUUAGAUGGACGAGAGUUUCAUCUUCAUCUUCGCGUGAUCAGAGUUCAUCCAUCAUCAUCUACGUCUGAUUGUAAUGACUUCUCAUCUUCAUAUUCAUAUUUUUGAAGAGCUGAAGGGGCGAUUUUUUGUUCAACUUCUAUAGGAUCAAAUGAUCCAAAUUGAAUGGUUGGCAAUAUAGGUAUCGUAAACUUUUCGACUUCCAUGGACUGUAGUGAAUCAACGGAGGUUUGAUUCAUACUUGCUUUGUUUUUUUCAAGAAAAUUUUUUUCUUGUCUUGCCAAAUCCAUCAUCUCAUCUUUAAAGACAAAGUAUUUUUGAAUGGGAUGUCCAACCAAGCAAUGAUACUUGAUUUGGAUCAUCCGUAUUACUAAUCUCGUCAAGUCAGUUCAUCUUGGAAGCAUGAUCAAGUUCAUGCUUAACAAAUUAUCAAAUAUACUAGGAACAUCAGAAUCAAGGAAAUUGUACUUCUUGUUUUGCAUCUCCUUGAGUGUUGGUUUUUUCUUUCCUUCGUCUUGAUGCAUACUGGUUUUCUUGUCUUCUCUUUUAGCAGUUCUGAGAAUAAUCUUGAAAGGUGUUAUACUUGCAGCUAUGGCCUCUUUCUCACUUUGAUUGGGGGCUUGCCUCCUUUCCUCACUUCUUGUUUCUCCUUAGCCUUGCGAGAAUCAGGAAUUGGCGGCUCUUGUCCAUCAAGGUUAAUUUCUAUCUUAUGAGUUUUUGGGGAUAAUUCAUCAAAUAUUUCUGGUUAUACCCCUUACAAGAUAUAUCUGAAUCCCCAAUGCAAGUCUUGAAUACACAUCUCAAUAGCGGAAGACUCGAAAAUUCGAUCCUUACAGUUUAGGCUUAGAUUUUUUCGAGCGAUUGAUAAAGUUAAUAACAUGUUCAUUCUUUCACUAGCACAUAUUUUAGAGUUCAAUUAUGCUGACAGUCCUUUUCGUGCUAUAGAAGCAAUUAAGGAAUUCCUACUCUAAUUGCUCCCAACUGUCAAUGCUGCUAGAUUCUAAAUCUGUGUACCAAUCAAACGUGUUACCCUUCAAUGAGUGAACAAAUUGCUUAACUAGCAAGUCACCAUUAGUGCCAGCAUUGUUACAAUUUUCGACAAAGUGCGCAAUAUGUUGUUUAGGGUUACCUUUGUCAUCAAAUUAUUGAAACUUUGAAAAUUGAAAUCCUACAAGCAUCUUCAAACAUUUACUCUUGUGGUGUAAGGUUUGAUAUAAUUGCUAUAUGACUUGGUAUUUCCACCAAUCUUGUCCUUGAUCGUACCUUUGAUAAACUCCUUUAAAUUAUCAACAUGAAUGGUACUAUCAGGAGAGAUUGAAAACUCCUUCAUUAUUCGUGACUUGGUAUCCUCUUUCUCUUUCUUCCUUGAUGAUGAGUUACCUUCAUAUUUUUUACCAUGGCCAUUAGUUUGGCUAUUUUGGCAUCUUGACUUUGCACGUGCCCUGCUAGCCCUUCGACAAUUUGGCAAGAUUUGAAAUUUGAUCUCUACGGUUGUGGUGUUAGUCAUCAUGAUGGGCAUUACCACAGAAGUAGCUAAAUUGCUUGAGCUAUCAGCAGAUUCAUCAUGGACUCCCUUCUUGUUGGGAAAAAUCUCAAAAUUUUUUCUUUCAACCACAGCAUUCGCCUUAACCCUAUCUACUAAUUUCUUAGCCUUGCUCCUUGUCAUAGGUGUAGUAUACUGCAUCUCCUGAGUUGUUGGGAUGCCAGCAACUGAGCCUUCAAGAGCAAAACUCAUCUUCUUGGACUCCAUUGAUUCUUGAAACAAGUAAGCUAUUCAAAGAAAAGAGAUGAAAAACAGAGAUGGUCCCACCAGACGUGUCAUAAAAUUUGUGAGCAUAAAUUUUGUUGCCUAAAAUAAAGACAAGAAAAUUUGCAUAAAUAUCAAAUUUAUUAAAUCAAAUAAUAAAUGGGUUAUAAUUUUUGAAAAUUCUUGAAUUAAAGAUAUUAAUCUUCUAAUUCUUCUCUUCAAAAACUUCAAUUGAAGGGUUGAAAAGACUUGUUUACCGAUCAAGAGGGUGUUUCCUACGAUUUUGACAUAGAAAACCGCUGAUUUGAUGAUGACGUUAAAUAGUUGAUGUUGGGUUUGGAUUUUAUUCCACCAAUCGUUCAUUUUGUUGGAUUUGAGUUUUAUACCACCAACUGUGGGAUAAAACCCAAUCCCAAUAAAAUGAACGGUUGGUGGGAUAAUACUCAAAUCCAAUAAAAUGAAUGAUUGGUGGGAUAAAAUCCAAACCCAACACUUGUAUCUUUAAAUCUUCAAUGUCGAUAGAAGGAGGAUUUAUUUUAACUUGAUUUGGAUUUGAAUUUAAGGGAAAAUGCUCUCGAGAGAAUUUGACAGAAUUUCUUCAAAAUUUAGAAAUUUCAAUGUGUUUUUGUACUAAGAGAAUACCUUUAUUUAUAGGCAAAAUAUGUAGAUUAUGUCUUCAAGAAAAUUCUCCAGAACCUUCUUGCGUUUGGGUAACUUGUACCUCAAGAAACUCAUUUAACUUAGGUUUAAAUAGUGGGCCUAUUCAAAUAAUCCAUUGUGAAUUAAUACAUCAAUUAAUCCACUUUAAUUUAAAUGGGUAACACAUUGAUUUGAUUUGAUUUAAUAGCCCAUAUAUCAUUGGUCUAUUUUGUCAAUCAAAACAUAAUAGACUGCUAUAAUUUAAUUUAAUGUAAUCAAGAUCAAUUUAAUUUAUUUAAUCUUGACUAAAUAAAUUUUCUUUGUCUACAGCAUGUACGUGUAAUUUUCCAAAUAAUGAUACUUUUCAAAGAGAGUUUUCAAAUAAUGAAAGUUCUAAAACAAGGCAUUCACCGAAUGCGUGAAUGUAUCUUUUUAAACAACGCAUUUAGUCAAUACGUUUUUAAGGAAAAAUGCCUAUACAAAUAAAAGAAUGAAUUCUAUAAAUGUGUCUUUUGAGGAAACAACACAUUUACUAAGUACGUUUUUUCACUCUUUGGGAAGAAGUUCAAAAAACACCACCAUUUGAAAGGUAAUUUUAGAAAAUCCCACUUUUUGAGAAUUUACUCAAGCUUGUACUUGACAAAAUGUGUUGGGAAAAUUGUGACGUCAGGUGAAUUGUAAAACUGUUGUGCCAUCGUAAUGUAUGUUUUGCACUAGAUUGAGUAAGAAUUAUAUCAAAAUAGUCGGCCACAAUAUAGGAAUGUGAAAACUUUGUGUUAAGUAAGUUGUAAUAUUUUUGUAUCAUCUAACGUAUAUUUGAAAACGAUUGAGAAUAUAAUAUAUGGAAACAACAGGUCACAAUGUUGAAAUGUCAAACCUCUUGUUUCAAACCAAAUACUUAUUAAACUCCUUCAUAUCGCUAACGAAUUUUGAUUCUGAAGUAAUAAUAGUUUUAUUUAAUUAUUUGCCUUUUUUGGAACAAUAUUAAAAUGUAGCCAUAAAUUUAAAUUCCAAAAUUGUUGAAUACUUGAGGAAUUCUAGAAAUGGCACUGAGAGUCAAAGUUCACCUUAUUCAAAAGUCACCAGCCAUCUCAGAGUGCAUGUUUCUAUUGAGUUUCAGGUUCAAUGUGUACCCACUUCCACUUUUGGCUGAUCAAUCAGGACUAAGGUUCCGUUUGAUAAAACUGAAUCUGAAUUCUGAAAUCUGAAUACUGAAACAAUUAAUUUGCUGAAUUUUAAGUUCUGAAAAGAAAUAUAUGAAUGUCUGAAUUUUAAUGUUAAAUCUAUUUCUACUGUUUGAUAAACAUUUAUAACUGAAUGCUUAAUAAGUUAAAUUUGACAAAUUUGCCCUUAAUCUUUUCAUCCAAAAAAGAAGUAGAACCUAUGAUUUAAUUAGGUAAAAAUGUUAGGUAUGAAAAUGACAAUAUUUAUUUUUAAAUCAAAUUAAUAUAAAAGAUGAAAUAUAUUAUAUGCGGAGUGGAGAAGAUGUAAAAAUCAUUCAAAAUGGAGAAAAAAGAAAUAGAAAAUCAUUAGAUAGAGAAUAUUAGAUUGUUUAAUUAGAUAAGAAUUUUGAACAUAAUUAACAAACAAUGGUAGAUUUGAUAGAUAAGAUAAGGUAAUUGAAGUAAUUCUAUUGAUUCUUAUCAGAAUUAAGUAUUCAGUUAGGAUUUUUGUGCUGAAAAAAAUACACACAAUUUCAGCACUACUUAACAAGUUCAGCAAAUAGAUUUUCAUUUAUCAAACAUUCAAAACAUCUAAAUGUCUAAAAAAAUUUAGAUUCAACACUUUUUUAUAUUAUUAAACAGACCCUAAGAGAAUAAAAUAACUUGCUUGCUGUUAGCGAUGGCAACGGGGCGGGGUUGGGGCGGGGGACCCCUCCCCCGUCCCCCGCCCCGUUGCCUAUUAGUUCCCCCUGUCCCCCGCCCCCCCCCCCGCUUCCCCCGCGGGGUUAAUAAAAUUUUAUUAUAAUUAAAUUUUAAUAAAUAAUCAAUUACUAAAAUAUCAACACAUCACCAAAUUAUUAUUCAUUGUAAUUUUACAAUUAAAACUCAUAAAAACAAUCAAACAAAAGUUAUUUGAAUACAAUCCAAUAUGAUGAAAUAAAUAUAACUAAAAUAGUUAAGUUUUCGCUUUUAGUACAAAUGCAAUCACUAAUUCAUUAUUGUGUUUGUGCUUUUCUUUUGAGAAAAAAGUGUUAUUCUAUUAAGUGUAAUUAGAAAUUUAGUAUAAAUGUAUUAGUAAAUUUAGUAUAACUAAUUAAUAAAUUUUAUUAGUAGACAUGUAUAAUUAUUCAUAUAAUUGAUAAUAUCAAUUAUAUUACAUAAACUACUAUACAUUAUAUAAUACAUCUAACUAAUAAUAUCAUUAUCAUAAGUUUAUAACUAAUUAACUUACAUAUUAUAUAUAAUUAUAUAUAUAUUUUUUUUAGGGUGGCGCGGCGGGGGAUGGGGCGGGGGUAUACUCCCCCGUCCCCCGCCCCGUUUCUAAGCGGGGGGAAAAAUUCCCCCCCCCGCCCCAACCCCCGCCCCGAGAGCCCCCCGUGGGCACCCGCCCCCAUUGCCAUCCCUACUUGCCGUUUUUAAAAAAGGAUUCAUUAUUUUUUCUUUGAGCAUUGGUAUCUCCACCCUCAAUGACACUAAUCUGGAUUCAAUAUGAGGAGUGUCCGUAGAGGCUGACUCUUACUCGAGAGUAAAGACUUGACCCAGAGCUUUUCAAGGCGUCAUCAUAUGUAGGAGUCAAACUUAUGAACUCUGUGCAUAGAUAAUUUAGCUCCAGUCUGUGGAAUGUCUUGAUGUUAGGUGAGUUGUAAUAUUUUGGUAUCAUCUAAUGAAAUUUUUAAAAGAUUGAGAAAUAAUAUAGAGCAAAACACCAAUUUAUUCCCUAAAUUAUUUUGCUAAAAUCAAAAUACUCCGUAAAUUUAUUUUGAGUCAGUUUAGUCCCCCAACUAUUUUUACAAAGCUGAAAUAGUCCUUAAACUUUAUUAUGAGCCAAUUUAGUCUCUCAACUAUUUUGUUUAAGUGAAAUAGUACCCCACCUUUAUUUAUUUGGCCAGUUUGGUCCUUGUUUGACUCAUCCACCCAAUUUAUCAACCUUGUGCACUAACAAUCAGGGGCAAAAUAAGAAAUUUAGUCAAUGCCCUUACUAAAAUGAUAGAAGAAUUAGAUAUCUGGCAAAAUUAAAAACAAAAUUGAAUCAUAUAGAGAACAAAAAAAUAUAGUGUUUCUUAUGGAGGAAAAAAAUGGAGCUGAUGCCUAAAAUCUCACAUGGAUCCAACUCAGUCCAUUGAAUGGAGAAAAGGGAAAAUAACACAACAAGAAUAUGUUAAAAGUUGGAAAAUGUGCUAUAAUUAUGAUUACUCCUUUAAGAAAUAAAGCUGAAAGAAGCUCAAUUUCUUUUUGUUUUCCAUAUUAUUCAAUUUCGUUGUCGAUUUUUCGAUAGAUGUAUGUUUUUUUUUUUGUUUUAAUAAGGGCUAUGAUUGGAUUUCCUAUUAUGCCAUUGGCUGUCGAUGCUACACUUGAUAAAUUAGAUGGAUCAUCCAAAUAAAGACAAAAUUGGCUAUGUAAACAUUAGUGAGGGACUAUUUCAGCUUAAGAAAAAUAGUUGAGGGACUAAAUUGGCUUAUAAUAAAAUUAGGGACUAUUUCAGCUUUGUAAAAAUAGUUGAGAGACUAAAUUGACUCAUAAAAUGUUUAGGGACUAUUUUGACAUUAAGGAAAUAGUUUUGGGACUAUAAACAUUAGGUCACAAUGUUGAAAUAUCAAAACCCAUGUUUUGGACCAAAACUCAUAGAACUUCUUCACGUCGCUAACGAAAUUUGAUUAUGAAGUAAUGCUAAUUUUAUUUAUUAUUUGUUUCCUUGCUGGUCUUCUGUCUUUUUGGUUAUUCCAAAAUUGUUGAAUAUUUAAACGAAUUCUAGAAAGGGCACUGAGAGUCAAAGUCUUAUUCAAACAGCCAGCUAUCUCAAAGUACAUAUUUUUUUAUUAUCAGGUUCAAUAUGUAUCUAUUGCAAUUUUUGAAUGACCAGCCAUGACUAAGAGAAUAAAAUAAUUCACUUGCUGUUUUUAGAUAUGAAUUCAUGACUGUCAGUAGUCUAUAAAUACACUUAUUGCUCACCACUCUUUGCACCGCAAAAUCUCUUCAAGAUCCAACAAACCCUCCUGUUCUUGGUCUUUGUCCAUUUGUGAAAAAACAAAUUAAAGCGUCAUGGCCCCUAUCACUUGUAGUGCUGAGAUGACCUCCCCAAUCCCUCCUGCAAGGUUGUUCAAGGCCGCCAUCCUUGAUGACCACCCUUAAUGCCACAGGCUAUUAAGAGUGUGGAAAUCCUUGAAGGAGAUGGUGGCGUUUGAACCAUUGAGUUGAGCACAUUUGGUGAAGGUUAGAUGUUAUAUUAAAUGUAGAACCCCAAAUUUAAGGAUCUAAUAAUAAUCAAUGCGUGCAGGGUUACAGAAUUGGAGGGAUAAAACAAAUACUCAAAAUAUACGUGGAAGAAAAGAAAAAUAAUAAAUUCAACUCACAAUAUUAUUGAAAUUUCAAACAAUGAAGAAAAUCAUACCACAAUGAAUUCAACUGGUUCUAAUAAUAAUCAAAGCAUACAAGGUUACAGAAUUAAAAGGAUAAAACAAACACUCAAAAUAUAUGUGGGAGAGAAGAAAAUAAUAAAUUCAACACACAAUAUUAUUGAAAUCUCAAACAAUGAAAAAAGUCACACCAUAAUAGAAAACCUUGCUAAUGCUUCUAGAUUCUUUCUCUUGAGAAACCAACCUAAAUAAUGUUCUAUUUAUAAUCUACCAAACUUGUUAGGAAAGAAACCACUUGCAUAAGAAAUUACCAAAUAAUACAGAAAUUCCUAAAUCACACAACUACUAAAAACAUAACUCAAAUAAAACUAAAAAAUAAAUAAAUAUUACUAGGCUUAGUUUAAUUUGUCAACAUUGCCUCCUUUAAACCAUACUAUCCAUUGAGAUAGGUUCAACACCAUCUCGAGCAAUAAUUUCUAUGCAAAUCUAUGUUGUAGUACACUUGACAUGAAACUCUAACUUGUUACCAGUUAUUAAUUUCAUUUUUACACGUAACAGUGGACACACUAUGUAUUGUGUAAACAACUUCUCAGCAAUUUCUUCUUGAUCAAAGAACUCACUUAUACAAACCCAUUCAUCACCAGAAUCACCAUAUUUACCACCAAUGUAAGUGCCUAAAAAUACAAAAUCAUAGAUUUCUUUCUCGCUAAAAUUAUCAUCACCAAAUAAUUCAAAAUAACCACUACUACAAUCAUCCAAAAUUUUCAUACUGUCAGUCAACUCUUUUGGAGUAAAAUAUUUUUCAACUCCGAUGACAUCCAUAUCUAUUAAAUCAAACAUUCUCCCAUCACUUUGAAGAGAGUCCGAACCAACGAAUUUUUCAACAACAAUUUCAUGUUCUCUUCUCUUAUCAAAUCAAAAUUUUUUUCUUCUUUUGUCAAAUUACCAUAUUAUUUUUUUCAACAAAUUCAUUACUUCUAAUUUCUCCAAACAAGGUACGCAAAUCAAAACUAUCAAUUGAUUCAAAAUUUUCGAUAUCACCCAUAUUAUCAACAAAUCUAUCAUUUUUAAAAUCCACAAACCAAUACCAAUAAAUAGACUUCGGUUUGAAAGCAUAAUUUCUCCCAAUCGUGUGCAAAACAUAGUAAAUAUCCUUCCAAAAUCUCUAAAGUAUUUUAAUUAGUACGACCAAUAAAGGUUUUAUAAACACUUUUUGCCAUUAUUUUACGCAUCACUUGAAAGAAUAAUUGUGCCUUUUUCUUAAAAACAUGUUUUGACAACUUACUUGCAUCAACCCAACAAAGAAUAUCAUCCAAAUUACAUUGUUUAACAUAUUUUUCCACUAUUAAAAUCCAACCAAAAUAUGUAUGUCCAUUUGUGCUUAUAGGAGUCAAUAUGAAAAAUUUUUCACCGUGAAUCAGAUCUUUAUAAUAUUCCAUUAUUUAACAAUUUGUAUACCUGGAUAAAUUUUUUUCCUCCAUCCUGUCAUGUUUUCUUGGCCUCCCUGGUUGACUAACCAAAUUAUUGUUGUAUGUAUACCCAUGCUCGUCAAACCUCAUUUGUGUACACUCGUAAGGAGUGGUUCUGAGCUUCUUGUGAAUGCUCAGUACCAAGAAGUAGAAGAGAGAAUGCAUAAGAGAGAAUUAACUUGGCUAUAGAAAUAGGAAACAAUUGAGGGAUUUUUUAAGAAAUUAAUUCUCCAGCUACCACUUUUGGAAAUUUUCUAUCAACAACUAGUUACCAAAACACUAGCACAUAAUAAGAAAUCAGGAUAAUUUCAGAAACCUCCCUUGAGGCUUUUAAUAACCUCAAGAAGCUCCCCUCAAUAUUUUAAAAUUACACGUACCUUCCCUAUUGGUGCAAAAGUACUCUACUACCCCUAAUAGGAUACUCAAAAGACUUUUUUUUAUGGGAAAAAUGAAGCUCAGAAAUCCAAGCAAAAUCAAAAAAAUCAAUUGAUUUUCUCUUUUAGCCUUUUACACUUUUGCCUUCUACCUUUGCUCACUUUCCCAUCCCAAUCUUCCUACACCCGCUUUCCCAAUCCCCUUUCCCCAACUUUUCUCCUCUACUUCAAGACCAAUUUUUGUCUAUCUAUCCUGGCUUGUGCUUUGUUCCAUUCCCUUCCCUUCUCCUUCUUUGAUUUCGCCUACAUCUCCCUUUCUCUUUGCAAAAGUGACUAGGCUCAUGUCUCUCUUUUUCCCCCCUAUUCUAAGUGUAGUGGGUUUGAUUAUUUUGCAUCUAUUUUAUUUGAUUUGGGUUGAUUAUGGGUGAUAGAACUUGGCGAUGUCAAAUAUCAAAAGUUUGAUAGAUGGAUAUUGGGCUUUAGACAAUGAUUUGCUGAAAAAAAUGGCUGCAAUGAGACAAAGAGGCAAGGGGAUUUGAGUGUGGGGUUGAUUGUUGAUAAAUUGUUGUUUUGGACAAAAUUUGAGGUUGAGUUUUAUUAAAUUUGAUAGCAAGUGGCGAGUUUUGUUCAGGUUGCGGGAAAUAAAUUAGAUUGUGGUUUCUUGGGCACCCACAGUUGUUGGAAUUGGUUUUGAUUCAAAUUAGGGUGGUUACUUGAUUUUCCUAAUAGUGUUGCUUAAAAGCACACGAUCAUCAAAAUUCCUUAUUUUUAUCUUUUGUUUUUUCUUGUAGAAAAGAUUUCACGACUUUCGUGAUAGUCUAAUUUGGAAGAAGGCAAUCAAGGGAUGCAAUCAACAUUUAGCAAAAGCUCUUGUUCUUUCCUUUGUAAUUUUUAGGGUAAAAAGGGUAGUUUAGGGUAUUUGAAGGAAAUGAUAGUCUAUUGGGUCUAUUUUCAAGCAUAAAUAGUGAACGUAAGGGAGGUUGGUGUAAUUUCUGAAACCUAAGGGAAAUUGUCUGAAAUUGUUCGAGACCUCAGAGGAGGUUUUCGAAAUUAUCCCUAAGAAAUCAAAUGCGAAACUUGAUUAGUACACGCACACACGACACCGCACCACGCCGCGCGUGUGUUGAGGAUUGGUGUCCGUAACCAACGACAAGCAGGUUUUCAAUUUUUUUUUCCUUUCCUGGAUUCUCCAGAGAUGGUGUCAGCUUCUAUUAUUGAUGAGCAGGAGGAAAUCCACAAUAUACAGUACACAUCACCCAUAUUCUUUUUAAUUGAACAAUGUAUGAAAUUAUGGUGAUUCGAAAUUAAAUUAUAUGUUUAUUGGGCACUGAAUCCAAAAUAAGAGUUGGAAAUGUAUUGUGACAACAAUUGUUAACAUAGGCCACAAAUGAUCAAAACAAAUAUUUAAGGUUUAAUAUGACAUUAUGGGUUCAGAAUAUAGUUACUUGUUAUGAAACAACUAAAAGUAUGGAUAUCCAUUUGUAUUUUCAAGAGGAUCAAUUCAUAAUUCAUUGCUCCCAAGAGGAUUAAUUCAUAAUACAUUGCUACAUUAUGUAAAGGAAUUGCAUUGGAUGAACGGUUUCAAUCCAUAAAAGCUAUUUAUGUAUUGGAUGAACCGUUUCAUAUGGCUAUUCAUGUUCUUGUAGUAAUGAGUGUUUAAUAGAAUUGAUGUACCUUUAAUUUUGUAGUACCUAUAUAUACAGGUACUUUGGCACCUCUUGGGUAUACUUUUUGAUUAGUUGGAAUAAUAAGAAAAUUAUUCUUCAUUUCUGUACUUCUUUCUCUAAUAUUUCAAUUCCUAUUAUAGUAGUUCAUUUUUUUUAGUUUUACAACACGUUAUUAGCAUGAGUCUCUACUUUUGAACAAAAAGGUGAAAACGGAGCCUCUACCUUAAAAAAAAGUGAAACACGAGAUUCUGCCAAAAUUUUGCCCGUAUUUUUCCGGCAACUUCUGUCCACUUAUUGAGAAAUGGAUGCCAAAUAUUUGGGAUUAAAUAAUGGUGAUGAUGAUAUUUGUCUCAUUGAUAGUGCUACUACGCACACUAUAUUGAAAAAUAAAAAAAAAAUUUCUUGUAUGAAAAUGGGAGAGACAAAUGUUAAUACCAUAACUGGUAGUGCAAAAUUGAUUGAACGCUCCGGAAUAGCCUCUCUAUUUCUUCAUGAAGGGACUAAAAUUGUCGUAAAUAAUGCACUACUGUCUCCCAAGUCUCGGAGAAAUUUAUUGAGUUUUAAAGAUAUCUGCGAAAAUGAAUACUAUAUAGGGAUAAUGACUGAGACAAAUGGAGAAUUUUUAUUAAUCACAAGUAUCAUUUCUGGGCAGAAAUGCGUAGUAGAAAAAUUACCUUCUUUUUCUUCUAGCUUAUAUUAUGCACAAAUUAGUGCAAUUGAAAUUUAUCACCUAGUAGACCAGAAGUCUACUCAUCCCAAUAAUUUUAUGAUUUGGCAUGAUCGUCUCGAAAAUACUGAAUCUAUAAUGAUGAGACGAAUAAUCAAGAAUUUACAUGGUCACUCAUUGAAAAAUUAAAAGAUAUUAAAAGCAAAUGAAUUCUCCUGUGUUGCUUGUUCCCACGGAAAAUUAAUUAUUAGACCAUCACCAGUUAAAGUUGGGACUGAAUUCCCUACAUUUCUAGAACGAAUUCAUAGUGAUAUAUGUGGACUCGUAGAUCCACCAUGUGGACCAUUUCGAUAUUUUAUGGUGCUAAUUGAUGCAUCAACUAGAUGGUCACAUGUAUUUUUAUUAUCUACUCGCAACUUGAUAUUUGCGAGAUUGCUUGCUCAAAUAAUUAAAUUGCGAGCACAAUUUUCAGACUAUCUAAUAAAGAAAAUUCAUUUAGAUAAUGCUGGUAAAUAUUCGUCACAUGCUUUUGACAAUUAUUGCAUAUCUAUUGGAAUAACUAUUGAACAUCUUGUAACUUAUGUUCACACACAAAAUGGUCUAGCCGAAUCAUUUAUUAAAUGGUUACAAUUAAUUGCUAGACCAUUGUUGAUGAGGUCUAAACUUCCUUCAUCUGCUUGGGAAUAUGCUAUAUUAUAUACAGCAAUACUUGUGAGAAUUAGACCGACAAGUUAUCAUACUUAUUUUCCUCUAUAAUUAACUUUUGGUUAUAAGUCAAAUAUUUCUCAUUUACGAAUAUUUGGUUGUUCGGUUUAUGUUCGAAUUGCACGGCCCCAAUGUCGUAAAUUGGGUCCACAAAGAAGAUUGGGGAUAUAUGUCGGAUAUAAAAUCACCUUUAAUUAUUAAGUAUAUGGAACCAUUGACAGGUGAUUUAUUUACUGCAAGAUUUGCAGAUUGUCAUUCUAAUGAAUCACAUUUUUCGACAUUAGGGGGAGAUAAAAAUCAAUCGAAAAAGAAAAUCACUUGAAAAAUAUCAUUCAAUUUUCUCGAUUCUCGUACCAAAGAAUGUAAACUAGAAGUUCAAAGGAUUAUACAUUUGCAAAAAAUUACAAAUCAACUACUGGACGUAUUUAAUGACUCCAGAAGAGUUAUUAAAUCACAUAUUUUUAUUGAAAAUACUCCGAUUAAAAUUAAUGUCCUUGAAGGACAAAUUACAAGUGUUAAUGAGUGUAAAGUGCGCCUGAAGCGUGGGAGACCUCUUGGUUCUAAAGAUAAAAAUUCUCGAAAGAAAAGAGAAAUUGAUGAAUCAACAAUUAGUGACAAAAUUCAACCUCCUGAAGAAGUCGCUCCUAAAGAGCCAAUUCUUGAAGAUAAUGAAAUUAUAGAAAAUUCAAUAAAUUUUGUCGCUUCAGGAAAAAGUUGGAACAAAAAAAAAUUAUUAAUAGUAUUUUUGCAUAUAAUGUAGCACUUGUUAUUAUGGUAGGUAAUGAAGAUCGUGAGCAUAGAUCGGUUGAUGAAUGUCGACGUAGAAAUGAUUGGCCAAAAUGGAAAGAUGCGAUUCAAUCUGAAUUGGACUUACUAGCUACAAGAAAAGUUUUUGGGCCUGUAGUCCAAACACCUGAAGGUGUAAAGUCAGUAGGAUAUAAAUGGGCAUUUGUGAGAAAAAGAAAUGAGAAAAAUGAAAUCGUGAGGUAUAAAGCAAGACUUGCAACCCAAGGAUUUUCACAAAGGCCUGGAUUUGAUUAUGAUUACACGUAUUCACCUGUAGUGGAUGCUAUCACAUUUAGAUAUCUUGUGAGUUUUGCAGGACAUGAAAAAUCAGAUAUGCAUCUAAUGGACGUCGUUACUGUAUAUUUAUAUGAAAAUUUUGAAAAUGAUAUUUAAACGAGAAUCCCUGAAGGAUUCAACAUGCCUGAAGCAUGCAAAUCAAAUUUUAAAGAUAUUUAUACUAUUAAAUUACAAAGGUAUUUGUAUGGGUUCAAACAAUCUGGACGUAUGUGGUACCGCCUCAAUGAAUGUUUAACUAAAGAAGGCUAUACCAAUAAUCUAAUACAUCCAUGUGUCUUUAUCAAGAAAAAUGGACUAAUUUUAUGAUAAUUGUUGUCUAUGUUGAUAAUCUUAAUCUGAUUGGAACUCUUGAAGAGAUUCAAAAUAGUGUUGAAUAUUUGAAGAAGAAGUUUGAAAUCAAAGAUUUUGGAAAAACAAAAUUCUACAUUGAUUUACAAAUUGAGUGAUAGGUUGCAAUUUUAUCAUUUAUUUUAUUAUUAAUUUUCCCUAUUACUUAACCCAAUGUGAAUUAAUUAUUAGAUUCUACUCACUUUUAGUAUUUUACAUAUAUUUCAGGGAGUAGAACGAAAAUACCAUAAUAAGUGCCGAUUUGACAGUUAUCAGGAAAGAGUUCAAGUAGCAGGCAUCCAGGGCAUUUUUGGAACAAGGAGAUACAAGUCCUUUUUGGUAAUUCGCAGAGCGCAGCAUUAAAAGGAGGAACGAAGGGCUGAAGUAGGGAGUCUUCUUCCCCCUGGGAGGAACCGCCGCACAGCAGAGGGCUGUCUGGUCCUCUUAGUUUUUCCGUUUCUUUAGUUUUAGCUUCGGAUUUUGACUUUUCUUCUCGUAGGAAUUUUGGGUAGCCUUGAGCUUAGCAACUUUUGUUGACCCUUUUUUGGCCUUUUAGCUAGUUUGUUCUUACGCAUGGAAGAUGGCUGAAUAGCUGAGGCUUGUUCUUUGUUUUUCUUUGACUUUUCCUUUUGGUUUGCUUCCUGCGGACGCCCAGACCGAAGGAAAACUAUGAAGUCCCUUUUGUAGCUUUCUCUCUUUAUUAAAUAGACGAAUUGAAUUCCCUCAACUUGCGAAUUGAUGGCCGCAGCUUUUGCUUCAAUUUCUUGUGGGUUUAGUUCAUUAAUUAUGAACUAAUUCUACAAUUCUAGUCAAGGGGACAACUGACGAUUUGGUUCGACAAUUACUGUGAGAUCGAAUCUGUUUUAAUUAUUUUCUUCAUUUAUUGGUAUUUAUAUGUUCCUUGAUUUUAAUUGCUAUGGCCUUGUGUAUGAUUGAUUAGUGCGCAAUAAUUAAUUAUUCAUAUAGGCUAUUUUGCUAAAUAGAGGUAAUUGAAUCCGUAAUUGUUCGUUAUCUCUAUCUUAGUAGCAACUGGCGUAAUUGGGUUUAUGUCAGGGGAGCAUAUGAUCUAGCUUAAACAAACCCUCGUAGCGUGUUUGUUGGUUAGGAUUGGGCCUUUCUAAUUAUUAAUGCAAUCUAGAAAUUAAAUCUUACGGUCGUACCUAGGGUUGUUUUUGGGUUAGAGAAAUAGCUAACGGUCGUACCUUAGCUAUCGAUAAAUUAAGGAAGGGUUGGUUGUUUAUCGCGUGCAUGACAACUAUAACCAAUCUAUUAAUAAAUGUUGGGAUUAUUUUUGCAUCAAUGAUCAGUGCAUGAACCAUUUCUGAAGUAUACCCUUGGCUAGAGUUUCUCUUAGUUAUUUCUUUUAAUUAAUUAUUUUCUGCAGUUAAUUUAUUUAGUUAGCAUUUAAUCCAAAACCCCCCAUACUUUGGACUCUAAAAGAAACAAUUACUCCCAGUCCCUGUGGAUUCGACCCUGCUCACCGCUAUCUACAGAAAUCACUUUUAGUUUGAGCAGGUAUUUAUUAUUGCACAGGCUUCGACGACCUGUCAAUCUUUGGCGCCGUUGCCGGGGACUGGUGCCAGAUUAAAUUGUUUCUUUUUGAGUUUAUCUUGUUUUCAUUUUUUUAAUUUAUUUUUCUCUUAUUUUUUAUUAUUAUUAUUAUUUUUUUUAUGGCUGCUAACAUUCCAUAUUUUGAUGAUAGACUGGAUUUUGUUCCUGAAUGGGGUUAUGAGACUCAUGUUUUUCCUAACGAUCAAUGGGCUGUUGCAAAUUGUGGAACUUAUUUUGACUCAAGUUAUUCAACUGACACAUGCCCCGUAUUUCAAGAUAAUUUAAGUUCUCCACUUGAUACUUUUGGAGAUUUUUCACCCCAAUAUCAAACGUGGUAUGACCCUUAUUCAAACGGGUAUGAUCAAGGAUGGUGGGAUAAUUCCAAUUUUGAUUAUGCGACCGGGCCAAUGGAUUUUCAACAGCAAGAGUCUCAGCAAUCAUCCUCCGUGUCAGGUAUGUCUCUUGAAGAAAUGAUAGGUUUACUAAUUGCUAAUUCAAAUCGAUUUCAUCAGGAGACACAAGCGAGCCUAAAUCGAUUUCAUCAGAGGACACAAGCGAGCUGUCGCGACCUGGCGGAUCAACUGCGUCAAUUGACAGCCAGGAUGCAGCGAUUAGAGGCUCACCUUGAAGAAUUGCCCUCGCAAACCAAUAUCAAUCUUGAGGAAGAUGAGAGUGCAAUUGUCCGGGCAAAUGACAUGGAACUGCAAGAGUUUCAAGAAAACGGAUUUAAAGAUGCAGUUGAAAAGGAAGCUGAAGUGCAAGAAAUGAGACUCCAAGAUCAACUCGUUCAAGUGAAUGAAUCCAGUGAACAAUCUCCAAAUGCGGUGACAUCUUCUCCACUCCUUAAUCAAUAUUUUCCUGGCUCCUAUUCUUCAACUCCUGUUACUGAAAUUGAUUUUAUUAUACCAGAAAAUUUAAAAUUUCAUGACAGGAAUAAGUUAAGAGUGGAGAUGGCAAAAUAUCUUGAACCAAUGAAUGCGUGUGAUGGAGGAGUGAGUGGAGAAUGCAGAUCAUUGUUGACUUGUUUAGCGCCAUUUACUAGUCCAUGGAAGCCCGUAACUCGUGUGCCCAAGAAUUACUCCAUCUAUGAGGGUUACCAGGAUCACGUUGAAGAUGAAGCAUUGAAGCGAGCCACAAGAUUUUAUCCUCCAUGAGCAAAACAUGAUAAUGUCUAGCCAAAGACAUUAAAGAAAGGCGCUCAUUGGGAGGCAACCCAAUUUCUUUUAGUUGUUUGUUUGAUUUUAUUUGUUAGUUUAAAUCUGUCUUCCUUGAAUUUGACUGAUUUUGGGUGUUAAUUUUCGUUUUUACUGAUUUGUAGGUGACCUUCAGUCAUGACGCGCCCGCGUGGUGACGUGCAGGAAGCUCACGAUCAGAAACUUCUGGGAGCUCUCUUACCCUCAUGACGUGCCCGCGUCAAGUCACCUGGAGAGUUCCAGAUUCCGUGCCUUCAUGGUGUGCCCACGUCACGUUCACGGGAGAGAUAAGUAUUUAAAAAAAAAAUUCAAAAACGAUUGUUGAUUGUUGGUUAUCUCUGCUUUUGAAUCUCGAAAAUAAAAUUUGCUAAUGAAAAUAAAUUUCAAAAAAAUAAAAAAAAAUUUUUUAAAAAAAAAAAUUUAAAUUUUUGUUUCACGGUAGCUUAGAUUUUCAAAUCCUAAAAAAAAAAAAAAACACAGAAACUCUUUCUUAUCAACGUAGCUUUAGUGUCAAAUAUUUUAAAAAAAAAAAAGUCUCAAAUGAAAAAAAAAAAGGGCUUUUCUUUUUCUUUCUUUUCUUUCUUUCUUCUUCUUUCUCUUUUCUGUCUUCCUUCUCCCCUGUUUCUUCUUCCUCUCUGUUGACCGAAGCCCUCUGUCCGCCGCCGCUGCUGAAGCGCCCUCAGCCGUCGCGCAGCAGCUCCUCACUCGAAGACGCCGCGGCCACAGCACCUCUGCACGCGGCCUCCACCUCUCCAUCGCGCGCCGUCAAGAGCUCCGCCGACCCACGACGCGCGAGGCACCAGCUCGCGCGCCUCCCCCACCUAGCAACUGCUGGCCGACCAGCCCCACCACCAGCCCGCGCCGCACCUGCUGGCCGACCUAUCAACUCCUAAGCUCGCGAACCUCCUCAGCUCAGCUCCACCAGCGAGCUGCUCCUCGCUCACUCCAUCGCGUGAAGACCAGGCGAGCACGGCCCGCAGCCUCUCACCGCCACUGCGCACCUCUGACCAGCUCGCAGCACCUCUCUCUGCCCUCCGUGCGCUGCCCGCGCGUGGCACCAGCGCCUCCACAGCUCGUCGACGAAGCCCAAGCUGACAGACCACGCCGCUCGUCCACUUCCACCACUCGCGACGCACAGAUCAGCGCUGCCGUUGGUUGCCCAACCUCCCUGGUGCCAGGUUUUUCUUACUAAUUUUGUGGUCUACGAUUCCAAUUUCUUGAUGAUGGGAUUUUUGAUGAUUACGAUUUCAUUGAGUAAAUUUGAUUGGCUUGCAUCUGUGUUACUGGAGCCCGUGGGUUGGGUUAUGACCUGCAACUGAUUUGCCUAGUCUAAUAUAAUUGUCAUUUGUUUGGGCUCUUGAAGUACUGUCUAGUGUUGUUUGUAUUUCUUAGUGAAUUGAGUUUGCCGUUUGAUUUCAUUCUUCCCUGUGCGUACACCAGUGGUACUGGUUGUGGUAGUUGCCUAACAUUUAUUCAUUCUCAUUGGUGUGGCUGUUGGGAUUGAAAGCUCAGAACUUGUGACUAAGUUGUUAUUGCCUAAAUGCUGACCUGCUAUUACUAGACUUGCUGAUUUCUUGGGAGCAUUUGUUGGGAUUUUGGGUGGAUAUUAGCAAGUGGUAUAUUGCUUGAUUUUUUUUACCUGUGCCUUGCUUGGAGUUUCUAGUGCAUGUUUGGGGCUGCCUUGGGAGUUAUUUGCCACAAUUGAUUGCCGUUUUGGUUUCUUCUGUUUCUGGUACUGCUUGUGCUGAUGGAUUUAUCAGUGUUUUGGGCGGCUUAUUUGAAUUGCUUCUUCCCUGUGUGUUUGGUCAGCUGUUUGCUUGAAAACCCAAACCCUUGUGCUUAUAUUUGCUCCCAGUUGAGUUAUGUGUUGGACUUUCCAAUUGGUGACAACUUUUGGGCUUUAGGGGUGAGUUCAUUUUGUCAUUAUUUGCUACCUUGUUGGGGUCAUUUUUGGUUUCACCUGAGUCUAUUGUCCUGCCUUCUGUUUUGAGUCCAUUGGAGUGACGUGAGUUGAGUAAUUUCUGCUUUUGUUUGUUGAUUUGGAAGGCUACUGUGCCACUUUCAUUGCUUAUUGCUUAGUGAUUAUGUCUAAUUAACAAUGUGCAUAGCAUGGCGCAGAAUUUGGCAGCAUUCAUGUAGCAUGCCGGUCUUAUACCUCAAUUGGGUACCUCUAUUUGGUUGGCUGCGUUCUUAUUGUCCAAUAUCUAUGCUGUUUUCAAUGGAAUUGCUGAUCUUGGGUUAAGACUUUAGCUGGCCAACUGGAGCCAUUUGUUGAGAUUUUGGGUGAACUGCAAUACUGCACUCGUUUGUUCAAUUGGGAGGUUUCUUUUGGUAUUCUGGUUGAGUUAUUUCUAAAGUUGCCUGAUGAAUUGAGAGACAUAGAUGGCUAUUGCUCUGCCCUGAUAUUGCUUGGUUGCCAGUGCGCAUUCUCUAUGCCAAGUGGCAAGGAUGUCUCAGAACUCGGCUUCCCUCCACUGUUCCCUCCUAUCCCUUAGCUGUUCAGCAGGGAAGUCUCGUUAUCCUCUUCGCUUUAAUUAUUUUAUUACCUCCAUUGAGGACAAUGUAGGAUUUAGGUGUGGGGGGAGCAGUUAUGGUGCUAGUGUCUUUCGUUCAUUUUCUUUUUCUUCUUUUUAGUGAUUGGCUCGUAAGUGCAUGCCAAGGUUUGAUGUUGGAUUAUUGCCUCUAUUUCUACUUUUGCCAAGUUUUAAUAAUAAAAGGGUAUCAAGUUAAUGUGGUUGAAUCCAAAAACAUCUCUUUGGUGAAUAUCAAUAAUUGUUUUACUCUUAUAAUUUUUUGGUUAACUUUCCUAGGCAUAGGGAAUGAUUAUUGGCAUUUUUAGUGAAUUGGUCCGGUUAUUAACCUUAGUUCUCCAUGUUUGAAAAUGAGGCUAGCUGAUGCAAGUUUUCUUUUGGUUCUUGUGUUAUAUUGAGUUUUUGUGAUUUUUAGCUCUGAAUAAACUUGACUGUACUCCGCUAUUAGUUACUACUGAGUAACCGGGGAUCUGCACCUAAAAGUGUUGAUUCUCGCGUCAAAAGAUAGUAGUUCCUAUGAGUACGUGGUCACGUGGCGAUAGAAGCUGAGUAACCGGGCUCCUUCAUCUGGCCAAUGUUGGAAUUCGCGUCAAAAGGCUCUAAUGGCUAGCGACUAAGUCUUUUGUUACUAUUGAAAAAAAACGAGAAAGAAGAAGAAGAAAAAAAAAAGAAAAAAAAGAGAAAAGUAGAAAAAUGUGAAAGAAAAAGUGAAUGCUGUGUUAGUGUAUAAUAAAAGUCAGCUUGCCGAUUUAUGGAUUUAAUGUUGAGAUUUUGGUUAAUAGUUGGACCAUUUGCUGAUAACUGUUAUGCGUCAUUCCUUUUUCUUAGAUUGGUUAACAUGAAAUUAGAGGAAUUUAUGGUUUAGAAGCUAACCGGAGUGAUGUUUCUUGGACUAGACCAUUGAUGCUUGAUUAUUAUAUUUUCUUGGUAUCUUGGCAAUAUGGUAGAUGGAGUAAUAGCCAUUGGCAAGUGUUGGUGUUUAUUUGCUGUUCUCAUGCUUGAGGACAAGCAUGGUUUAGGUGUGGGGGGAAUUGAUAGGUUGCAAUUUUAUCAUUUAUUUUAUUAUUAAUUUUCCCUAUUACUUAACCCAAUGUGAAUUAAUUAUUAGAUUCUACUCACUUUUAGUAUUUUACAUAUAUUUCAGGGAGUAGAACGAAAAUACCAUAAUAAGUGUCCGAUUUGACAGUUAUCAGGAAAGAGUUCAAGUAGCAGGCAUCCAGGGCAUUUUUGGAACAAGGAGAUACAAGUCCUUUUUGGUAAUUCGCAGAGCAGCAGCAUUAAAAGGAGGAACGAAGGGCUGAAGUAGGGUCUUCUUCCGCCUGGGAGGAACCGCCGCACAGCAGAGGGCUGUCUGGUCCUCUUAGUUUUUCCGUUUCUUUAGUUUUAGCUUAGGAUUUUGACUUUUCUUCUCGUAGGAAUUUUGGGUAGCCUUUAGCUUAGCAACUUUUGUUGACCCUUUUUUGGCCUUUUAGCUAGUUUGUUCUUACGCAUGGAAGAUGGCUGAAUAGCUGAGGCUUGUUCUUUGUUUUUCUUUGACUUUUCCUUUUGGUUUGCUUCCUGCGGACGCCCAGACCGAAGGAAAACUAUGAAGUCCCUUUUGUAGCUUUCUCUCUUUAUUAAAUAGACGAAUUGAAUUCCUUCAACUUGCGAAUUGAUGGCCGCAGCUUUUGCUUCAAUUUCUUGUGGGUUUAGUUCAUUAAUUAUGAACUAAUUCUACAAUUCUAGUCAAGGGGACAACUGACGAUUUGGUUCGACAAUUACUGUGAGAUCGAAUCUGUUUUAAUUAUUUUCUUCAUUUAUUGGUAUUUAUAUGUUCCUUGAUUUUAAUUGCUAUGGCCUUGUGUAUGAUUGAUUAGUGCGCAAUAAUUAAUUAUUCAUAUAGGCUAUUUUUUGCUAAAUAGGGGUAAUUGAACCCGUAAUUGUUCGUUAUCUCUACCUCAGUAGCAACUGGCGUAAUUGGGUUUAUGUCAGGGGAGCAUAUGAUCUAGCUUAAACAAACCCUCGUAGCGUGUUUGUUGGUUAGGAUUGGGCCUUUCUAAUUAUUAAUGCAAUCUAGAAAUUAAAUCUUACGGUCGUACCUAGGGUUGUUUUUGGGUUAGAGAAAUAGCUAACGGUCGUACCUUAGCUAUCGAUAAAUUAAGGAAGGGUUGGUUGUUUAUCGCGUGCAGGACAACUAUAACCAAUCUAUUAAUAAAUGUUGGGAUUAUUUUUGCAUCAAUGAUCAGUGCAUGAACCAUUUCUGAAGUAUACCCUUGGCUAGAGUUUCUCUUAGUUAUUUCUUUUAAUUAAUUAUUUUCUGCAGUUAAUUUAUUUAGUUAGCAUUUAAUCCAAAACCCCCCAUACUUUGGACUCUAAAAGAAACAAUUACUCCCAGUCCCUGUGGAUUCGACCCUGCUCACCGCUAUCUACAGAAUUAAUUUUAGUUUGAGCAGGUUUUAUUAUUGUACAGGCUUCGACAACCUGUCAUUGAGCAUUUGAAAAGUGAAAUUUUUGUCCACCAAACUGCUUAUACCCGGAAGGUAUUAAAGUAGUUUUAUAUGGAUAAGGCAUAUACAUUAAGUACCCCAAUGGUCAGAUCAUUAGAUCCUAAUAAGGACCCUUUUAGACCGCGAGAGGAAGUUGAAGAGAUACUUGGUCCUAAAGUACCAUAUCUCAGUGCAAUUAGUGCACUAAUGUAUCUUGCUAAUUGUACAAGACCUGAUAUAUCAUUUGCAAUAAAUUUAUUAGCAAGAUUUAGUUCUCGCUCACAAGACGACAUUGGAAUAGUAUUAAACAUAUUUUUUGUUAUCUCCAAGGAUCAAUUGAUCUUGGCUUAUUUUAUUCAAAUAAAUCUAAACUUGAAUUGUUUGGUUAUGUUGAUGCUGGAUAUUUAUUUGGCCCACAUAAAGUAAGAUCUCAGACUGGUUAUCUAUUUACAUAUGGAGGUACAACCAUUUCUUGGCGAUCUACAAAGCAAUCAUUAGCUGCCAUUUCAUCGAAUCAUGCUGAAAUAAUAGCAAUUCAUGAAAUUAGUUGAGAAUGUGUUUGGUUAAAAUCAAUGACCCACUAUAUCCGGAAAAGUUGUGGGUUAUCCUCCGAAAAAGAAAAUCCUUCAACUAUAUUAUAUAAAGAUAAUGCAGCUUGUAUAACUCAAUUGAAAGGAUGAUAUAUUAAAAGAGAUAGAACGAAAUAUAUUUCACCAAAAUUCUUUUUUACUCAUGAUUUACAAAAGAAUGGUGAAAUUGAUGUGCAACAAAUCUGAUCAGAUAAUAAUUUGACAGAUUUAUUUACCAAUGCAUUGCCAACUGCAAUAUUUAAGAAAUUGGUGAAGAAUAUUGGAAUGCGACGACUAUAAGAUCUCAAAUGAUAUUUGCAUCCGGGGGAACAAUCAAUACACAAGAAUAGUGUACUCUUUUUCCUUCAUUAAGGUUUUUAUCCCGUUGGAUUUUUUCCUAGUAAGGUUUUAAUGAGACACAUUCUUUGUGUAAUGGACAUCCAAUGGGGAGUGUUAUGAAACAACUAAAAAUGUGGAUGCCCAUUUGUAUUCUCAAGAAGAUCAAUUCAUAAUUCAUUGCUUCCAAAAGGAUUAAUUCAUAAUUCAUUGCUACAUUAUAUAAAGGAAUUACAUUGGAUGAACGGUUUCAAUCCAUAAGAGCUAUUCAUGUAUUGGAUGAACCAUUUCAUAUGGUUAUUUAUGUUCUUGUAGUAAUGAGUGUUUAAUAGAAUUGAUGUACCUUUAAUUUUGUAGUACCUAUAUAUAGAGGUACCUUGGCACCUCUUGGAUGUACUUUUUGAUUAGUUGGAAUAAUAAAAAAAUCAUUCUCCAUUUCUGUACUUUUUUUUCUAAUAUUUUAAUUCCUAUUAUAGUAGUUCAUUUUUUUUUUAGUUUUACAACAUUACUCAAAGAAGAGGGUUAUUGGACUAUAUGUUUAUUGACCUCUACUAGGGAUGACAAUGGGGGCGGGUGACGGCAAUGGGGGCGGGUGACCGCGGGCACCCGUCCCGCGGGGGGCUAAUGGGGAGAGGGAUGGGGCCGGGGCGGGGGGUAGGGGAGUGUACCCCCGCCCCAUCCCCCGUCCCGCUACCCGCUUUAAAAAAAUAAAUAUAUAAAAUAUAUAUAGGUAUAUAAUUAUAUAUAUAAUAUAUAAUUUAAUUGGUUACAAACUUAUGAUAAUAAUAUUAUUAGUUAUAUGUAUUAUAUGAUGUCUAUUAGUAUAAAUAAUAUAAUUGAUAUUAUUAAUUAUACUAAUAAUUAUAUAUGUGUACUCAUACAAAUUAUUAAUUGGUUAUACUAAAUUUACUAAUACAUUUAUACUAAAUCCCUAAUUACACUUAAUACAAUAACAUUAUUUUCAUAAAAAAAACACAACCACAAUAAUGAAUUAGUGAUUGUAUUUGUACCAAAAGUGAAAAUUUGAUUACUUUAGUUAUAUUUUUUUCAUCAUGUUGGAUUGUAUUCAAAUAAUUUUUGUUUGAUUGUUUUUAUAAGUUUCAAUUGUAAAAUUGCAAUGAAUAAUAAUUUGAUGAUGUGUUGAUAUUUUAGUACUUGAUUAUUUGCUAAAAUUUAAUCAUAAUAAAAUUAUAUAACAAAUUUUUAUUAGCUCAGCGGGAGCACCCGCCGGAGAAGCGGGGCAGGGUGGGGACGGGGCGAGGGAAGCGGGGGAUGGGGGAGGGGUCCCCCGCCCCAACCCUCUUCCCCAUCUCCCGCCCCGUUGCCAUCCCUAACCUCUACUAACUUAUUUAAGGUCAUUUUAUAUCACUAUCCAAAGAAGAAUUAAGGUCAUUUUAUAUCACUAUCCAAAGAACAAUUCUUGGGCGUUAACAUUUUUCUUACAUGCCAAGACUAUUAAUGAAAGUUGACCCAAAUCUCUCUCUCUCUUUCUCUCAAUUCUUAGGACUGAUGCCAAUUCUUACCAUUUAGAAAGAAAAAUUAGAUUGUUUAUAUAUAUGAUGAGUUCCCUCUAAGUCAUGGUUAAGAAAAAUUCUUAGUUAGACGCAGUUUUAUGAAAUGUGAAUUUCCUUUUCUUUGUCUUUAUUCGUUAGUAUUAUUGGGGUUAUUGUAUUAUGAUUGCAAUGCACAGAUACAUGGAUUUUUGACAUUUUUUUCUCAUUUUUUCUUUUUAAUUGACUCUGACUAUGUCUCAAACUCGAGACAUCAAACCUGGAGAAGACUUUUGUCCAAAAUGCUUGUAAAAAUUCAGAAGAAUAAUGUUGGACCUUAUUAUUUAAUAAUGGUGCAAUUAUGAGAGUCAUUCCUGGUUUAAUUAUCAACAUCAUGUCAUUAUUAUUUUUUUGUUUCAUAGAAAAAUAAAGUAUUCUCCGACUCGACAUUAUCAUAUUAUUUUCAAUUGGCAGCUUUAAGUGAGAAAGGCCGGUGAAAAUUUUGGGCAUUACUAGUUUAUUUAGGCCUCACGCGCUCCGUGAAGGUGCCGACGUCAUCUUCGUUUUAAUGGAAAAAUUUGAGCGCGCUUUGAUCAUAAGGAAUUCACAAUCAUCGGGCCAACAAAGAAAGCACUAAAUGGUUAAAACAAACCAUGCAAAUUUGCUCAGCACUUAAACAAUAGACUCCUAAACCGACCAUUUUACUGUCUUGCCAAAAAAGGGCAUUAAAGUAAAAACAACCCAUGCCUAACACAACUAACAAACUUCAGCACCUUCACUUCACUGCCACGUCAUCAACAACAUCUGUAAAUUUCCAAGGAAGUCCACGCACUAAAGGUGCCAUGGGGGACCUCAGGUUAGUGUUCUUAACAUCAACUCCUGUCUUUAUAUUCUUAGGAAAUAUUGAAAUUAAACAUUAUAACUAAUCCUGAUUUCCUUAUGCUGUAUUUGUACACAAUUUGGCAACUUGAUAAAAAGUUUGUUCCAAUUUAUUCCAAUUUAAUUUGUCAGCUAGUCGAAUCUAAUUUGAAUAGUAUUUAACUUUGAAAUUUGAUAAAAAGUUUGUUCAAACUUGGUUUACUAAAUAAACAAGUUAAGUUUGAACAAAAUUUCAAACUUAUUAAAAUAAUUAAAUACGUUUGAAUACUAGGGUAUUCAAUUUAAUUAGACUCGUUUGCACCCAUAAUUAAAGCAUGCACUUUUUUAUAAAUUUAGGAAUCAACAUUAUCUAUUUGAUAGCUAGCUAAUGGCCCAAAAAGUUAAUUGCCUUAAAUUCUUUUAGCAGCCAUAAAGUAUAGUUGGAGGGAUUCCCUUGAAAUUGAUUAGAUUCUUCUAUGUGACUGUGACGUAUUACUAGUCCUACCCAAAAAAAAAUGGUAUUACUAGUCCUUUUUUCUUUUUGUGGCGUGCCACCGCCGUAGGGGGCGGGGAGGGCAGUCAGUGCGAGAAUUCUAGAUGGGGUAGAAGUAGCCAAAGUUCACCUUAUUCAAAGUAAACAACCGACAAUCUCAGUUGUCGACUUUCCUGUCGAUUGCGUAUAUAUUACUAUCUUUUACCAUGACUUUAGAGGAUACCUAAUUUUGCUUGCUAUUAAAUAAUAAUUCCUGGCACCACAUAAUUCUUUCAAGAACUACCAAAACCUUCUUGAAAUCCCUCUUUUUCCUUUUAGUUCAUUUCCAAGAAACAAAUUGAACCAUCAUGGCCCCUGUCACUUCCAGUUAUGAGGUCACCUCCUCAAUCCCUCCUGCAAGGUUGUUCAAGGCCACCAUCCUUGAAGAGAAGCAUCUUCACAAGAUCUUGCCACAGGGCGUUAAGAGUGUCGAAAUCCUUGAAGGAGAUGGUGGAGUUGGCACAAUUAAGUUGACCACAUUUGUUGAAGGUAAGAUAUCAAUACAAAGUGAUUAUUUUCACACAUUUGAAGUCCUCAAAAUGUUCUUUUUUUUUUUUAACAUUUUAUUUGUGGGGGUAAGUAUGUAUGUAAGCCCUAAUAACCUUUUUUUUUUUGUUGGGUUAAAUAUUUAGGUGGCGAGCUUAAGACUGCCAAACAGAGAGUUGAUGGAAUUGACAAAGAAAAAUUUACAUACAGUUAUACUGUACUUGAAGCUGAUGGAUUUAACGAUGUAAUCGAGAAAAUCUGUUGUGUCAUCAAAUUUGAACCCUCUGCUGAUGGAGGUUCAAUCUGCAAAACCACUAAUACAUACUACCCCAAAGGUGGUGCUCAGAUCAGUGAGGAACACCUCAAGGGAGGAAAAGAGAAGGGUUUGGGAAUGGUUAAGGCUGUUGAGGCUUACCUCCACGCAAAUCCUACUGCCUACAACUAAUUAAAAUGAAUGCUACUGAAGGACUCUUCGACAUAUUUUCUUCAAGAUUGAAGUAUAAACUGAGGGUGUCUGUUUCCUUUUUUGCUUGGUUUGCUUAAGCUGUUUGGUUAAGUUAUUCGCAGCAAGAGAAUAAAAUAAUUCACUUGCUGUUUUUAGAUAUGAAUUCAUGACUGUCAGUAGUCUAUAAAUACACUUAUUGCUCACCGCUCUUUGCACCGCAAAAUCUUUUCAAGAUCCAUCAAACCCUCCUGUUCUUGAUCUUUCUCCAUUUGUGAAAAAACAAAUUAAAGCAUCAUGGCCCCGAUCACUUGUAGUGCUGAGAUGACCUCCCCAAUGCCUCCUGCAAGGUUGUUCGAGGCCGCCAUCCUUGAUGACCACCUUCUUCCCAAGAUCAUGCCACAGGCUAUUAAGAGUGUGGAAAUCCUUGAAGGAGAUGGUGGAGUUUGAACCAUUAAUUUGAGCACAUUUGGUGAAGGUUAGAUGUUAUAUUAAAUGUAGAACCCCAAAUUUAAGGAUCGAAUAAUAAUCAACGCAUGUGGGGUUAUAGAAUUGAAGGGAUAAAACAAAUACUCAAAAUAUACGUGAAAGAAAAGAAAAUAAUAAAUUCAACUUACAAUAUUAUUAAAUUUUCAAACAAUGGAAAAAAUCAUACCACAAUAAAUUCAGCUGGUUCUAAUAAUAAUCAAAGCAUACAAGGUUACAGAAUUAAAAGGAUAAAACAAACGCUCAAAAUAUAUGUGGGAGAGAAGAAAAUAAUCAAUUCAACACACAAUAUUAUUGAAAUCUCAAACAAUGAAAAAAGUCACACCAUAAUAGAAAACCUUGCUUAUUCUUCUAGAUUCUUUCUCUUGAGAGACCAACCUAAAUAAUGUCCUAUUUAUAAUCUACCAAACUUGUUAAGAAAGAAACCACUUGCAUAAGAAAUUACGAAAUAAAUUAGAAAUUCCUAAAUCACACAACUACUAAAAACAUAACUCAAAUAAAACUAAAAAAUAAAUAAAUAUUUCUAGGCUUAGUUUAAUUUGUCAACAUUGCCUCCCUUAAACCAAAUUAUUCAUUGAGAUAGGUUCAACACCAUCUCGAGCAAUAAUUUCUAUGCAAAUCUAUGUUGUAGUACAUUUGACAUGAAACUCUAACUUGUUACCAGUUAUUAAUUUCAUUUUUACACGUAACAAUGGACGCACUAUAUAUUUUGUAAAAAAUUUCUCAGCAAUUUCUUCUUGAUCAAAGUACUCAUUUAUACAAACCCAUUCGUCACCAGAAUCACCAUAUUUACCACCAAUGUAAGUGCCUAAAAUUAAAAAAUCAUAGGUUGCUUUCUCGCUAAAGUUAUCAUCACCAAAUAAUUCAAAAUAACCACUACUACAAUUAUCCAAAAUUUUCAUACUGUCAGUCAACUCUUUUGGAGUAAAAUAUUUUUCAACUCCGAUGACAUCCAUAUCUAUCAAAUCAAACAUUCUCCCAUCACUUUGAAGAGAGUCCGAACCAACAAAUUUUUCAACAACAAUUUCAUGUUCUCUUCUUUUAUCAAAUCAAAAUUUUCUUCUUCUUUUGUCAAAUUACCAUAUUAUUUUUUUCAACAAAUUCAUUACUUCUAAUUUCUCCAAACAAGGUAUGCAAAUCAAAACUAUCAAUUGAUUCAAAAUUUUCGAUAUCACCCAUAUUAUGAACAAAUCUAUCAUUUUUAAAAUCCACAAACCAAUACCAACAACUAGACUUCAGUUUGAAAGCAUAAUUUCUCUCAAUCAUGUGCAAAACAUAGUAAAUAUCCUUCCAAAAUCUCUAAAGUAUUUUAGUAUGACCAAUAAAGGUUCUAUAAAUACUUUCUGCCAUUAUUUUACGCAUCACUUGAAAGAAUAAUUGUGCCUUUUUCUUAAAAACAUGUUUUGACAACUUACUUGCAUCAACCCAACAAAGAAUAUCAUCCAAAUUGCAUUGCUUGACAUAUUUUUCCACUGUUAAAAUCCAAUUAAAAUAUGUAUGUCUAUUUGUGCUUAUAGGAGUCAAUAUGAAAAAUUUUUCACCGUCAAUUAGAUCUUUAUAAUAUUCCAUUAUUUAACAAUUUCUAUACCUGAAUAAAUUUUUUUCCUCCAUCCUGUCAUGUUUUCUUGGCCUCCCUGGUUGACUAACCAAAUUAUUGUUGUAUGUAUACCCAUGCUCGUCAAACCUCAUUCGUGUACACUCGUAAGGAGUGGUUCUGAGCUUAUUGUGAAUGCUUAGUACCAAGAAGUAGAAGAGAGAAUGCAUAAGAGAGAAUUAACUUGGCUAAAGAAUUAGGAAACAAUUGAGGGAUUUUUUAAGAAAUUAAUUCUCCAACCGCCACUUUUGGAUCUUUUCUAUCUACAACUAGUUACCAAAACACUAGCACAUAGUAAGAAAUCGGGAUAAUUUCAGAAACCUCCCUUGAGGCUUUUAAUAAUCUCAAGAAGCUCCCCUCAAUAUUUUAAAAUUACACGUACCUUCCCUAUUGGAGCAAAAGUACUCUACUACCCCUAAUAGGAUACUCAAAAGACUUUUUUUAUGGGAAAAAAGAACCUCAGAAAUCCAAGCGAAAGCAAAAAAAUCAAUUUAUUUUCUCUUUUAGCCUUUAACGCUUUUGCCUUCUACCUUUGCUCACUUUCCCAUGCCAAUCUUCCUAUAACCACUUUCCCAAUCCCCUUUCCCCAACUUUUCUCCUCUACUUCAAGACUAAUUUUUGUCCAUCAAUCCUGGCUUGUGCUUUGUUCCAUUCCCUUCCCUUCUCCUUCUUUGAUUUCCCCUACAUCGCCCUUUCUCUUUGCAAAAGUGACUAGGCUCAUCUCUCUCUUUUUUCCCCUUAUUCUAAGUGUAGUGGGUUUGAUUAUUUUGCAUCUAUUUUAUUUGGUUUUGGUUGAUUAUGGGUGAUAAAACUUGGUGAUGUCAAAUAUCAAAAGUUUGAUAGAUGGAUAUUGGGCUUUAGACAAUGAUUUGCUAGAAAAAAAUGGCUGCAAUGAGAGGAAAAGGCAAGGGGAUUUGAAUGUGGGGUUGAUUGUUGAUGAAUUGUUGUUUUGGACAAAAUUUGAGGUUGAGUUUUGUCAAAUUUGGUAGCAAGUGGCGAGAUUUGUUCAGGUUUCGGGAAAUAAAUUGGAUUGUGGUUUCUUGGGCACCCACAGUUGUUGGAAUUGGUUUUGAUUCAAAUAAAGGUGGUUACUUGAUUUUCCUAAUAGUGUUGCUUAAGAGCACACGAUCAUCAAAAUUCCUUAUUUUUAUCUUUUUUUUUUUGUAGAAAAGAUUUCAUGACUUUCGUGAUAGUCUAAUUUGGAAGAAGGCAAUCAAGGGAUGCAAUCAACAUUUAGCAAAAGCUCUUGUUCUUUUCUUUCUAUUUUUUAGGGUAAAAAGGGUAGUUUAGGGUAUUUGAAGGAAAUGAUAGUCUAUUGGGUCUAUUUUGAAGCAUAAAUAGUGAACGUAAGGGAGGUUGGUGUAAUUUCUGAAACCUAAGGGGAAUUGUCUAAAUUGUCCGAGACCUCAGAGAAGGUUUUCGAAAUUAUCCCUAAGAAAUCAAAUGCGAAACUUGAUUAGUACACACACACACGACACUGCACCACGGCACGCGUGUGUUGAGAACUGAUGUCCGUAACCAACGACAAGCAGGUUUUCAAUUUUUUUUUCCUUUCCUGGAUUCUCCAGAGAUGGUGUCAGCUUCUAUUAUUGAUGAGCAGGAGGAAAUCCACAAUAUACAGUACACAUCACCCAUAUUCUUUUUAAUUGAACAAUGUAUGAAAUUAUGGUGAUUCGAAAUUAAAUUAUAUGUUUAUUGGGCAACGAAUCCAAAAUAAGAAUUGGAAAUGUAUUGUGGCAACAAUUGUUAACUUAGGCUACAAAUGAUCAAAAUAAAUAUUUAAGAUUUAAUAUGACAUUAUGGGUUCAAAAUAUAGUUACUUGUUAUGAAACAACUAAAAGUGUGGAUGUCCAUUUGUAUUCUCAAGAGGAUCAAUUCAUAAUUCAUUGCUCCCAAGAGGAUUAAUUCAUAAUUCAUUGCUACAUUAUGUGAAGGAAUUACAUUAGAUGAACGGUUUCAAUCCAUAAGAGCUAUUCAUGUAUUGGAUGAACCGUUUCACAUGGCUAUUCAUGUUCUUGUAGUAAUAAGUAUUUAAUAGAAUUGAUGUAUGUUUAAUUUUGUAGUACCUAUAUAUAGAGGUACCUUGGCACCUCUUGGCUGUCCUUUUUGAUUAAUUUGAAUAAUAAGAAAAUCAUUCUCUAUUUCUAUACUUCUUUCUCUAAUAUUUCAAUUCUUAUUAUAGUAGUUCAUUAUUUUUUUAGUUUUACAACACGUUAUCAGCACGAGUCUCUAUUUUUGAAUAAAAAACUGAAAAUGGAGCCUAUACCUUAAAAAAAGCAAAAAAUGUGAUUCUGCUGAAAUUCUGCAUGUAUUUUUCCGGCAACUUCUAUCUACUUAUUGAGAAAUGGAUGCCAAAUAUUUGGGAUUAAAUAAUGGUGAUGAUGACAUUUGUCUCAUUGAUUGUACUACUACGCACACUAUAUUGAAAAAAAAAAUUCUUGUAUGAAAAUGGGAGAGACAAAUGUUAAUACCAUAAGUGGUAGUGCAAAAUUGAUUGAAAGUUCUGGAAGAGCCACUCUAUUUCUUCCUGAAAGGACUAAAAUUGUCGUAAAUAAUGCACUACUAUCUCUCAAGUCUUGAAGAAAUUUAUUCAGUUUUAAAGAUAUCUGCGAAAAAUGGAUAUCAUAUCGGGACAAUAAAUGAGACAAAUGGAGAAUUUUUAUUAAUCACAAAUAUCAUUUCUGAGCAGAAAUACGUAGUAGAAAAAUUACCUUCUUUUUCUUCUGGCUUAUAUUAUGCACAAAUUAGUGCAAUUGAAAUUUAUCACCUAGGAGACCAGAAUUCUACUCAUCCCAAUAAUUUUAUGAUUUGGUAUGAUUGUCUCGAAAAUCCUAGAUAUAUAAUGAUGAGGCAAAUAAUUGAGAAUUCACAUGGUCACUCAUUGAAAAAUCAAAAGAUAUUAAAAGCAAAUAAAUUCUCUUGUGUUGCUUGUUCCCACGGAAAAUUAAUUAUUAGACCAUCACCAGUAAAAGUUGGGACUGAAUCCUCUACAUUUCUAGAACGAAUUCAUGAUGAUAUAUGUGGACUUGUAGAUCCACCAUGUGGACCAUUUCGAUAUUUUAUGGUGCUAAUUAAUGCAUUAACUAGAUGAUCACAUGUAUGUUUAUUAUCUACUCGCAACUUGGCGUUUGCGAGAUUGUUUGCUCAAAUAAUUAAAUUGCGAGCACAAUUUUCAAACUAUCCAAUAAAGAAAAUUCAUCUAGAUAAUGCUGGUGAAUAUUCGUCACAUGCUUUUGACGAUUAUUGCAUGUCCAUUGGAAUAACUGUUGAACAUCCUGUAACUUAUGUUCACAUUCAAAAUGGUUUAGCCGAAUCAUUUAUUAAAUGGCUAUAAUUAAUUACUAGACCAUUGUUGAUGAGAUCUAAACUUCCUUCAUUUGCUUGGGAACAUGCUAUAUUACAUGUAGCAAUACUUGUGAGAAUUAGAUCGACAAGUUAUCAUACUUAUUUUCCCCUAUAAUUAACUUUUGUUUUUGAGUCCAAUAUUUCUCAUUUACGAAUAUUUGGUUGUUCGAUUUAUGUUCUAAUUAUACCGUCCCAACAUCGUAAAUUAGACCCGCAAAGAAGAUUGGGGAUAUAUGUUGAGUAUGAAUCACCUUUAAUUAUUAAGUAUAUGGAACCAUUGACAGGUGAUUUAUUUACUGCGAGAUUUGCAGAUUGUCAUUUUGAUGAAUCACAUUUUUCGACAUUAGGGGGAGAUAAAAAUCAACCGAAAAAGAAAAUCACUUGAAAAAUAUCUUUGAAUUUCCUCGAUUCUCAUACCAAAGAAUGUGAACUAGAAGUUCAAAAGAUUAUACAUUUGCAAAAAAUUACAAAUCAAUUACCGGACGCAUUUAAUGACUCCAGAAAAGUUACUAAAUCACAUAUUCCUAUUGCAAAUGCUCCGAUUAAAUUAAUGUCUUUGAAGGACAAAUUACAAAUGUUAACGAGUCUAAAGCGUACCUAAAGCGUGGAAGACCUCUUGGUUCCAAAGAUAAAAAUUCUCGAAAGAAAAGAGGAGUAGAUGAAUCAACAAUUAGUGACAAAAUUCAACUUCCUGAAGAGGUCGCUCCUAAAGAGCCAAUUCUUGAAGAGAAUGAAAUUAUAGAAAAUUCAUUAAAUUUUGUCAUUUCAGGAAAAAGUUAGAAUCGAAAAGAAAUAAUUAUUGAUAGUAUUUUUGCAUAUAAUAUACCACUUGAUAUUAUGGUAGAGAAUAAGGAUCACGAGCCUAGAUAGGUUGAUGAAUGUCGACGUAGAAAUAAUUGGGCAAAAUGGAAAGAUGUGAUCCAAUCUGAAUUGAACUCACUGGUUAAAAGAAAAGUUUUUGGACCUGUAGUCCAAACACCUGAAGGUGUAAAGCCAGUAGGAUAUAAAUGGAUAUUUGUGAAAAAAAAAAUGAGAAAAAUGAAAUCGUGAGGUAUAAAGCAAGACUUCUAGCCCAAGAAUUUUCACAAAGGCUUGGAUUUGAUUAUGAUUACACGUAUUCACCUGUAGUGGAUGCUAUCACAUUUAGAUAUCUUGUGAGUUUUGCAGUACAUGAAAAAUCAGAUAUGCAUCUAAUGGACGUCGUUACUGCAUAUUUAUAUGAAAAUCUUGAUAAUGAUAUUUAUAUGAGAAUCCCCGAAGGAUUCAACAUGCCUGAAGCAUACAAAUCAAAUCCUAAAGAUAUUUAUUCUAUUAAAUUACAAAGAUUUUUGUAUGGGCUUAAACAAUCUGGACGUAUGUGGUACUGCCUCAAUGAAUGUUUAACUAAAGAAGGCCAUACCAAUGAUCCAAUAUAUCCAUGUGUCUUUAUCAAGAAAAAUGGAUCAAAUUUUGUGAUAAUUGUUAUAUAUGUUGAUGAUUUAAAUCUGAUUGAAACUCUUGAAGAGAUUAGUGUUGAAUAUUUGAAGAAGAAAUUUGAGAUCAAAGAUUUUGGAAAAACAAAAUUCUGCCUUAGUUUACAAAUUAAGCAUUUGAAAAGUGAAAUUUUUGUCCACUAAACUGCUUAUACCCCGGAAGGUAUUAUAGCAGUUUUAUAUGGAUAAGGCACAUACAUUAAGUACCCCAAUGGUCAGAUCAUUAGAUCCUAAUAAGGAUCCUUUUAGACUGCGAGAGGAAGAUGAAGAGAUACUUGGUCCUAAAGUACCAUAUCCCAAUACAAUUGGUGCACUAAUAUAUCUUACUAAUUGUAGAAGACCUGAUAUAUCAUUUGCAAUAAAUUUAUUAGCAAGAUUUAGUUCCUCGCCCACAAGACGACAUUAGAAUGGUAUUAAACAUAUUUUUCGUUAUCUCCAAGGAACAAUUGAUCUUGGUUUAUUUUAUUCAAAUAAAUCUAAGCUUGAAUUGCAUGAUUAUGCUAAUGCUGGAUAUUUAUCUGACCGGUAUAAAGCAAGAUCUCAGACUGGUUAUCUAUUUAUACAUGGAGGUACAGCCAUUUCUUUGCGAUCUACAAAGCAAUCGUUAGCCGCCACUUCAUCGAAUCAUGCUGAAAUAAUAGCAAUUCAUGAGGCUAGUCGAGAAUGUGUUUGGUUAAGAUCAAUGACCCACUAUAUCCGUAAGAGUUGUGGGUUAUCCUCCGAAAAAGAAAAUCCUCCAACUAUAUUAUAUGAAGAUAAUGUAGCUUAUAUAACUUAAUUGAAAGGAGAAUAUAUUAAAGGAGAUAGAACAAAACAUAUUUCACAAAAAUUCUUUUGUACUCAUGAUUUACAAAAGAAUGGUGAAAUUUAUGUGCAACAAAUCCGAUCAGAUAAUAAUUUGACAGAUUUAUUUACCAAUGCAUUGCCAACUGUAAUAUUUGAGAAAUUGAUGAAGAAUAUUGGAAUGCGACAAUUAUAAGAUCUCAAAUGAUAUUUGCAUCAGGGGAAGAAAUCAAUACACAAAAAUAGUGUACUAUUUUUCCAUCACUAGGGUUUUCGUCCCAUUGGAUUUUUUCCUAAUAAGGUUUUAAUGAGGCAUAUUCUUUAUGUAAUGGACAUCCAAUGGGGAGUGUUAUGAAACAACUAAAAGUGUGGAUGCCCAUUUGUAUUCUCAAGAAGAUCAAUUCAUAAUUCAUUGCUCCCAAGACGAUUAAUUCAUAAUUCAUUGCUACAUUAUGUAAAGGAAUUACAUUGGAUGAACGGUUUCAAUCCAUAAGAGUUAUUCAUGUAUUGGAUGAACCAUUUCAUAUGGCUAUUUAUGUUCUUGUAGUAAUGAGUGUUUAAUAGAAUUGAUGUACGUUUAAUUUUGUAGUACCUAUAUAUAGAGGUAUCUUGGCACCUCUUUAGUGUACUUUUUGAUUAGUUGGAAUAAUAAAAAAAUCAUUCUCCAUUUCUGUACUACUUUCUCUAAUAUUUCAAUUCCAAUUAUAGCAGUUCAUUUUUUUUUUUGGGUUUACAACAUUACUCAAAGAAGAGAGUUAUUGGACUAUAUGUUUAUUGACCUCUACUAACUUAUUUAAGGUCAUUUCAUAUCACUAUCCAAAGAAAAAUUCUUGGGCGUUAACAUUUUUCUUACAUGCCAAGACUAUUAAUGAAAGUUGACCCAAAUCUCUCUCUCUCUUUCUCUCAAUUCUUAGGACUGAUGCCAAUUCUUACCAUUUAGAAAGAAAAAUUAGAUUGUUUAUAUAUAUGAUGAGUUCCCUCUAAGUCAUGGUUAAGAAAAAUUCUUAGUUUUAUGAAAUGUGAAUUUCCUUUUCGUUGUCUUUAUUCAUUAGUAUUAUUGGGGUUAUUGUAUUAUGAUUGCAAUGCACAGAUACAUGGAUUUUUGACAUUUUUUUUCUCAUUUUUUCUUUUUAAUCGACUCUGACUAUGUCUCAAACUCGAGACAUCAAACCUGGACACGACUUUUGUCCAAAAUGCUUGUAAAAAAUCAGAAGAAUAAUUUUGGACCUUAUUAUUUAAUAAUGGUACGAUUAUGAGAGUCAUUCCAGGUUAAUUAUCAAACUUGUAACUUGAAAAUAAUGUCGACAUCAUGUCAUUAUUAUUUUCUAGUUUCAUAGAAAAAUGAAGUAUUCUCCAACUCGACAUUAUCAUAUUAUUCUCAAUUGGCAGCUCAUGUGAGAAAGACAAGAAAUUCACAAUCAACUGGCCAAGAGAGUGCCAACAAAGAAAGCACUAAAUGGCUUAAACAAAGCAUGCAAAUUUGCUUAGCACUUAAACAAUAGACACCUAAAUCAACCAUGUCACUGUCUUGCCAAAAAAGGGCAUUAAAGUAAAAACAACUCAUGCCUAACACAGGUAACAAACUUCAGCACCUUCACUUCACCGCCACGUCAUCAACAACAUUUGCAAAUUUCCAAGGAAGUCCACGCACUAAAGGUGCCCAUGCCCUUAGGGGACCUCAGGUUAGUGUUCUUAACAUCAACUCCUGUCUUUAUAUUCUUAGGAAAUAUUGAAAUUAAACAUUAUCACUAAUCCUGAUUUCCUUAUGCUAUAUUUGUACACAAUUUGGCAACAAGGUUGUCCUUUUUUGGGCCAAAUUGGACAAGUAAAAAAAAGAAAAUUAAAAGGUUUAUCUGCAAACUGUAGUUCGGCCUGCCUCUUUUUUUUUUUUUUUUGGGGAUAAGAUCGUCAUGUAUCAAUAUUUCUGUACUUAGCAUUGGCUUCUUCUCGCCUGAAGAACACACGAACCACCGGAUGAAAGUGGUGAAUGAAAGUGCACUUAACCCUUUUAAUUUUUCAAAACAAUGCUUUUAGAAAAAAUAAUAAAGACUUUUUUGAAUUUAAUUUUAGAGAAGAAGAAUUUUAAACUUUUUUGAAUUUAAUCUUACAGAAGAAGAAGUUUAAAAUGUACUUUAAUUUUCACAACUGAUGAUGAGAAUAGCAAAAUGUAUACGGACGGUGACAAAAGUGCCGUCUUAUCCUUUUGCUGACGGCCCGUUUUCCAAUGAGAGGAUGCCUCUGCUUCGUAUUUUAUCCAUAUUGAUAUAUAUUCUUUUCUGUCCCCCUAACUAUUAAAUGUGAAAGGUUGCCCACCAAAUUUGACGAAACCGUUUAUCCUAAUUGAUUAUUAUCCAUAGGGCAUAACUUUAAUAUUCUUCUUCCAACCCGUCCGUCAAUGACCACUAACCACCUCUAAUCUAUUCUCAAAUUUUAAUGAAAUUGCGCAAUUAGUUUUCAUUUCUCACUUUUAUUUCAAAUUUGGUCUCAAUUUAAUGUGAAUCCCAAUAAAUAAGACCGGAGUUGAAAUCAAAGAACGUAUUUCAAUCACCAUCGGAUAAAUUCUUCAUGUCUAGUUUUGUCCUUGAGAUGCAUAGAAAAUGUAAGCUGAUCUUGCAGUCUACGAGAAAAACGAAGUCUAAGAGAAUAAUUUUGUCAAAACUUGACAAUGGAAUGAACCGGUGGUCGCUGGUUGGCAGCUGCUAGAAGUCAUAGCAGUUUUAAAACAUAAUUGCAGCAAGUAAAAGAUUAAAACUACGUUGUGUACUGUUAACGACUUACAUUGACAAAAUGGUUAAGGACAGAGUUGAAAGAUGAAUCAAACUGUUCGACAUUCGAUUCGAAUUUGACUUGGUAAAAACUUAUUCCAAUUUGAUUUGUCAGCUAGUCAAAUCUAAUUUAAAUAGUAUUUAACUUUGAAACUUGAUAAAAAGUUUGUUCAAACUCAGUUUACUAAAUAAACAAGUCAAAUUUGAACAAAAUUUCAAACUCAUUAAAAUAAUUAAAUACGUUUGAAUACUAGGAUAUUCGAUUUAAUUAAAUGCGAUUGCACCCCUAAUUAAAGCAUGUACUUUUUUUAUAAAUUUAGGAAUCAACAUUAUACAUUUAAUAGCUAGCUAGAGGGUCAAAAAGUUAAUUGCCUUAAAAUUCUUUUAGCAGCCAUAAAGUAUAGUUGGAGGGAUUCCCUUGAAAUUGAUUAGAUUCUUCUAUGUGACUAAAGAAUUUCGGGUGUGACGUAUUACUAGUCCUACCCUAAAAAAAAUGGUAUUACUAGUCCUUUUUUUCUUUUUUAGCGUGCCCCCGCCGUGGAGUGUGGGGAGGGUGGUCUGUGCGAGAAUUCUAGAUGGGGUACAAGGUGCCAAAGUUCACCUUAUUCAAAGUAAACAACCUUCCAUCUCAGAUGUUGAAUUUCCUGGCAAUUGCGUAUAUAUUACAAUCUUUUACCAUGACUUUAGAGGACAGCUAAAUUUGCUUGCUAUUAAAUAAUAUUUUCGGUAGUCUAUAAAUACUCUUGGUCCUAACUGCUUCUUGCACCACAUAAUUCUUUCAAGAACUACCAAAACCUUCUUGAAAUCCCUCUUUUUCCUUUUAGUUCAUUUCCAAGAAACAAAUUGAACCAUCAUGGCCCCUGUCACUUCCAGUUAUGAGGUCACCUGCUCAAUCCCUCCUGCAAGGUUGUUCAAGGCCACCAUCCUUGAAGAGAAGCAUCUUCACAAGAUCUUGCCACAGGGCGUUAAGAGUGUCGAAAUCCUUGAAGGAGAUGGUGGAGUUGGCACAAUUAAGUUGACCACAUUUGUUGAAGGUAAGAUAUCAAUACAAAGUGAUUAUGUUCACAAAUUUGAAGUCUUCAAAUUGCUCACUUUUUUUUUCUUUUAUUUGGGAAAAGCUAAUGACUUUUUUUUUUUUUUUUGGUUGGGUUAAAUAUUUAGGUGGCGAGCUUAAGACUGCCAAACAGAAAGUUGAUGGAAUUGACAAAGAAAAAUUUACAUACAGUUAUACUGUACUUGAAGCUGAUGGAUUUAACGAUGUAAUCGAGAAAAUCUGUUGUGUCAUCAAAUUUGAACCCUCUGCUGAUGGAGGUUCAAUCUGCAAAACCACUAAUACAUACUACCCCAAAGGUGGUGCUCAGAUCAGUGAGGAACACGUCAAGGGAGGAAAAGAGAAGGGUUUGGGAAUGGUUAAGGCUGUUGAGGCUUACCUCCACGCAAAUCCUACUGCCUACAACUAAUUAUAAUGAAUGCUACUGAAGGACUCUUCGACAUAUUUUCUUCAAGAUUGAAGUAUAAACUGAGGGUGUCUGUUUC
rnacentral:lncRNA from 1 species